AAAGGUUAAUACAUGGGACCAUCAAAGCGUAGAGUUUCCCUCUCUCAAUUCAUUGAUAUCAAAACACACGGAACAUCUGUGUUGUAUGCGAUUCCUCGGCUUGGAUUACGAACACCAGGUAAAACAUGUAUUUUAGAGGAAAUAUUAACCAGAUAAAACACAAGUUUAUGUGAAGGGGCUUCCAAGGAAGAAAUUUUUGACCAAAGUAACAAAUGUGGACCGCACAACAUAAGAAGCUCAAUUAUAUUAUUUGUCGGUAACCAAUACUACAUUUGCAAGCAUAUGUGAUGAAAUUAUUCCUCUAGCCAGAAAAGAAGCAUAAUUCUAGGCACAACAACACUGAUCCUUCUUGCAAUACGCGUGAGCCGAGGGCUUAAAGCUCAGGCCGCAUACGGUUUGGCAACGAUCUUCGCACUUUUCCUGAUGGAAGCAUGGAAGAUUCGCUCCAUCUUCAACUGCAAGUUCAAUCCAUGAUCCAUGUAAGUCCAUGAUCCAUGAUCCAUGCAUGGAAAAAUAUAUGAAUUGAUGUAUGUAUGUAGGGGGGAAAUGGUGACGACUUUGGUUAACUAAACAAGUGCAAUGACUUGAAUACGAAUGAAAGUAACCGAUCAAGACUCGAGAGGACAACAAAAAAUUGGCAACACAUGAACAAAACAAGAAGAGAUGUUAUUACUUGUGCGAGCGUAGCAAGACGACGACGAUAGGGUGGAAGCCAUGAUCAUAAGAACCACAAAAAUCACAGCCUUCCUGGUAGCGUUGCUCUUGGCUGCCAUGACAAAGAGAUCGACAAAGAAUCGCUUCUUACUUACUUGUGUGCUUAAGGAUGUCGUAAGCUUUGGCGCUUGCAUAGUUGUUUAUAUAGAGGGACAAAAAUCAAAUCUUUGGCGUUCAAUUAAUGUAUCAUCUUGUGGAUAUACACCUGAUUUUUGGCAGGAGUUAAUGUAUUAAUUGAUAUUUAAGGACACAUUUACGUAAAGACAAUAGAUACCUCCUUUUGAUAUAUUUUUAGCUGGAAUUAAUUGGUUUCCAAAGAUGUAGCAUCCUCCUUUCCUUGGCAACGGCCUCUUGGACGCGAAUUCAAGGAAUCCUCUACGUUUUGAGGCAUGCUUGGUAUUAGUUUUUCGUGCAAAAUGGUAUUCUAACAUUUUUAUUGUUUACAAGUAUAAUAGAAGAUCAAGUUUGUUUCCAAACAAAGGAUUUAUUAACUUUGUUUUGCGAUUACUAAAUUAAUUUUCUAUAUCUGAUGCAUGUACUCCCGAGAGACAAACGUCCGCUUUCGAGAAAAACUUAAACCCUAACCACAAAAAAAUAACUUAAACCUAGGGCAACCCAGUUCCUUUCACGCAAAAGAAAAGCCCAGCGCACUAGUACAUGCGAGAGACUUGCCCGUGGGCUCCAUUUGAGCAUCAGGUAGUCCACGAUAUAGCUGGCCAUCUGUCGGACCAGGUCGGACUUGGGGCCGGGCCUGACCGAAAGCAGAAAGCCUAGGCUCGAGCCCGGCCCGACCCGGCUGUCAGGCCUAGAAUUCAGGCCCAAGCCCGACCCAUUAGUGGAAAUGUUGGAGAACGUAGUAAUUUCAAAAAAAAAAAAUCCUACGCACACGCAAGAUCAUGGUGAUGCAUAGCAAUGAGAGGGGAGAGUGUUGUCCACGUACCCUCGUAGACCGAAAGCGGAAGCGUCAGAACAACGCGGUUGAUGUAGUCGUACGUCUUCACGAUCUUACCGAUCCAAGUACCGAACGUACGGCACCUCCGAGUUCAGCACACGUUCAGCUCGAUGACGUCCCACGAACUCCGAUCUAGCAGAGCUUCACGGGAGAGUUCCAUCAGCACGACGGCGUGAUGACGGUGAUGAUGUUGCUACCGACACAGGGCUUCGCCUAAGCACCGCUACGAUAUGACUGAGGUGGAAUAUGAUGGAGGGGGGCACCGCACACGGCUAGGAGAGAUCAACAGAUCAACUUGUGUCUAGAGGUGCCCCCCUGCCCCCGUAUAUAAAGGAGCAGGGGGGGAGAGGCGGCCGGCCAACGAGGGUGCGCCAAGGGGGGACUCCUACUCCCACCGGGAGUAGGGCUCCUCCUUUCCUUGUUGGAGUAGGAGAAGGGAAGGAAGGGAGAGAGGAUGAGAAGGAAAAAGGGGGGCGCCGCCCCCCCUCCUUGUCNNNNNNNNNNNNNNNNNNNNNNNNNNNNNNNNNNNNNNNNNNNNNNNNNNNNNNNNNNNNNNNNNNNNNNNNNNNNNNNNNNNNNNNNNNNNNNNNNNNNNNNNNNNNNNNNNNNNNNNNNNNNNNNNNNNNNNNNNNNNNNNNNNNNNNNNNNNNNNNNNNNNNNNNNNNNNNNNNNNNNNNNNNNNNNNNNNNNNNNNNNNNNNNNNNNNNNNNNNCGGUAACCCCCCGGUACUCCGGUAAAUGUCCAAAACCUUCCGAAACACUUCCGGUGUCCGAACAUAGUCAUCCAAUAUAUCAAUCUUUACGUCUCGACCAUUCGAGACUCCUCGUCAUGUCCGUGAUCAUAUCCGGGACUCUGAACUACCUUCGGUACAUCAAAACACAAAAACUCAUAAUACCGAUCGUCACCAAACUUUAAGCAUGCAGACCCUACGGGUUCGAGAACUGUGUAGACAUGACCGAGACACGUCUCCGGUCAAUAACCAAUAGCGGAACUUGGAUGCUCAUAUUGGCUCCCACAUAUUCUACGAAGAUCAUUAUCGGUCAAACCGCAUAACAACAUACGAUGUUCCCUUUGUCAUCGCUAUGUUACUUGCCCGAGAUUCGAUCAUCGGUAUCUCAAUACCUAGUUCAAUCUCAUUACCAGCAAGUCUCUUUACUCGUUAUGUAACGCAUCAUCCCGCAACUAACUCAUUAGUCACAUUGCUUGCAAGGCUUAUAGUGAUGUGCAUCACCGAGAAGGCCCAGAGAUACCUCUCCGACAAUCGGAGUGACAAAUCCUAAUCUUGAAAUACGCCAACUCAACAAGUACCUUCGAAGACACCUGUAGAGCACCUUGAUAAUCACCCAGUUAUGUUGUGAUGUUUGGUAGCACACAAAGUGUUCCUCCGGUAAACCAGAGUUGCAUAAUCUCAUAGUCAUAGGAACAUGUAUAAGUCAUGAAGAAAAUAAUAGCAACAUACUAAACAAUCAAGUGCUAAGCUAACGGAAUGGGUCAAGUCAAUCACAUCAUUCUCCUAAUGAUGUGAUCCCGUUAAUAAAAUGACAACUCAUGUCCAUGGCUAGGAAACUCAACCAUCUUCGAUUAACGAGCUAGUCAAGUAGAGGCAUAUUAGUGACACUAUGUUUGUCUAUGUAUUCACACAUGUAUUAUGUUUCUGUUUAAUACAAUUCUAGCAUGAAUAAUAAACAUUUAUCAUGAUAUGAGGAAAUAAAUAAUAACUUUAUUAUUGCCUCUAGGGCAUAUUUCCUUCAGUCUCCCACUUGCACUAGAGACAAUAAUCUAGAUUACACAGUAAUGAUUCUAACACCCAUGGAGUUUUGGUGCUGAUCAUGUUUUGCUCGUGGAAGAGGCUUAGUCAACGGGUCUGCAACAUUCAGAUCCAUAUGUAUCUUGCAAAUCUCUAUGUCUCCCACCUGGACUUGGUCCCGGAUGGAAUUGAAGUGUCUCUUGAUGUGCUUGGUUCUCUUGUGAAAUCUGGAUUCCUUUGCCAAGGCAAUUGCACCAGUAUUGUCACAAAAGAUUUUCAUUGGACCCGAUGCACUAGGUAUGACACCUAGAUCGGAUAUGAACUCCUUCAUCUAGACUCCUUCAUUUGCUGCUUCCGAAGCAGCUAUGCACUCCGCUUCACACAUAGAUCCCGCCACAACAUUUGUUUAGAACUGCACCAACUAACAGCUCCACCAUUCAAUGUAAACACGUAUCCGACUUGCGAUUUAGAAUCGUCCGGAUCAGUGUCAAAGCUUGCAUCGACGUAACCAUUUAUGACUAGAUCUUUGUCACCUCCAUAAACGAGAAACAUAUCCUUAGUCAUUUUCAGGUAUUUCAGGAUGUUCUUGACCGCUGUCCAGUGAUCCACUCAUGUAUUACUUUGAUAACUCCCUGCUAAGCUAAUAGCAAGGCACACAUCAGGUCUGGUACACAACAUUGCAUACAUGAUAGAGCCUAUGGCUGAAGCAUAGGGAACAUCUUUCAUUUUCUCUCUAUCUUCUACAGUGGUCGGGCAUUGAGUCUGACUCAACUUCACACCUUGUAACACAGGCAAGAACCCUUUCUUUGCUUGAUCCAUUUUGAACUUUUUCAAAACUUUGUCAAGGUAUGUUCUUUGUGAAAGUCCUAUCAAGCGUCUUGAUCUAUCUCUAUAGAUCUUGAUGCCCAAUAUGUAAGCAGCUUCACCGAGGUCUUUUGUUGAAAAACUCUUAUUCAAGUAUCCUUUUAUGCUAUCCAGAAAUUCUAUAUCAUUUCCAAUCAGUAAUAUGUCAUCCACAUAUAAUAUUAGAAAUUCUACAGAGCUCCCACUCACUUUCUGAUAAAUACAGGCUUCUCCAAAAGUCUGUAUAAAACCAUAUGCUUUGAUCACACUAUCAAAACGUUUAUUCCAACUCCGAGAGGCUUGCACCAGUCCAUAAAUGGAUCACUGGAGCUUGCACACUUUGUUAGCUCCCUUUGGAUAGACAAAACCUUCCGGUUGCAUCACAUACAACACUUCUUCCAGAAAUCCAUUUAGGAAUGCAGUUUUGACAUCCAUUUGCCAAAUUUCAUAAUCAUAAAAUGCGGCAAUUGCAAACAUGAUUCGGACAGACUUAAGCAUCGCUACGGGUGAGAAAGUCUCAUUGUAGUCAACUCCUUGAACUUGUCGAAACCUUUUGCAACAAGUCAAGUUUUGUAGAUAGUAACAUUACCGUCAGCGUCAGUCUUCUUCUUGAAGAUCCAUUUAUUCUCUAUGGCUUGCCGAUCAUUGGGCAAGUCAACCAAAGUCCACACUUUGUUCUUACAUGGAUCCCAUCUCAGUUUCAUGGCCUCAAGCCAUUUUGCAGAAUCUGGGCUCGCCAUCGCUUCUUCAUACACUACUAGGGAAAAUCCUAGCAGCAGCGCGGGUUUUAGGCCUAUCAGUAGCGCGGCCUGGAGCGCUACUGGUACGGUGCUAUAGCUAAAGCUUAGCAGUAGCGUGCCUAGACCCACGCUACUGCUAAAUCGACUUAGUAGUAGCGCUUCUCCAGAGGAGCGCUACUGGUAAUUAGUAGUAGCGCUUCUCCUUACCCUCGUGAUACGUCUCCAACGUAUCUAUAAUUUUUGAUUGGUCCAUGCUAUUAUAUUACCUGUUUUGAAUGAUUAUGGGCUUUAUUAUACACUUUUAUAUUACUUUUGGGACUAACCUAUUAACCGGAGGCCAAGCCCAUAUUGUUUUUUUAUUGCCUGUUUCAGUAUUUCGAAGAAAAGGAAUAUCAAACGGAGUCCAAACAGAAUGAAACCUUUGACAAUGUGAUUUUUUGGAAGAUUAUCAUCCUGGAGACUUGGAGAUCACGUCAGAAGAUACUCGAGGAGCCCAGGAUAUAGGGGGCGCCCCCCUACUGGGCGCGCCCCCCUGUCUCGUGGAUCCCUCGAGCACCUCCCGACUGACUUCUUUCUCCUAUAUAUUCCCUCGUACCCUAAAAACACCGAAUAUCAAGAUAGAUCGGGAGUUCUGCCGCUGCAAGCCUCUGUAACCACCAGAAACCUCUCGAGAGCCCUUCCCGGCACCCCGCCGGAGGGGGAUCCUUCACCGGUGGCCAUCUUCAUCAUCCCGGCGCUCUCCAUGACGAGGAGGGAGUAGUUCACCAUUGCGGCUGAGGGUAUGUACCAGUAGCUAUGUGUUUGAUCUCUCUCUCUCGUGUUCUCUCUCGUGUUCCCUCUAUGGCACGAUCUUGAUGUAUCCCGAGCUUUGCUAUUGUAGUUGGAUCUUAUGAUUUUUCUCCCCCUCUACUCUCUUGUGAUGAAUUGAGUUUUCCCUUUGAAGUUAUCUUAUCGGAUUGAGUCUUUUAUGAGAACACUUGAUGUAUGUCUUGCCGUGCUUAUCUGUGGUGACAAUGUGAUAUCAUGUGCCACUUGAUGUAUGUUUUGAUGACCAACUUGCGGGUUUCGCCCAUGAACCUAUGCAUAGGGGUUGGCACACGUUCUUGACUCUCCGGUAGAAACUUUGGGCCACUCUUUGAAGUACUUUGUGUUGGUUGAAUAGAUGAAUCUGAGAUUGUGUGAUGCAUAUCGUAUAAUCAUGCCCACAGAUACUUGAGGUGACAAUGGAGUAUCUAGGUGACAUUAGGGUUUUGGUUGAUUUGUGUCUUAAGGUGUUAUUCUAGUAUGAACUCUUGAAUAGAUUGAUCCGAAAGUGUAACUUUGAGGUGGUUUCGUACCCUACCAUAAUCUCUUCGUUUGUUCUCCGCUAUUAGUGGCUUUGGAGUGACUCUUUGUUACAUGUUGAGGGAUUGUUAUAUGAUCUAUCUAUGUUAUUAUUGUUGAGAGAACUUGUACUAGUGAAAGUAUGAACCUUAGGCCUAGUUUCCUAUCAUUGCAAUACCGCUUGUGCUCACUUUUAUCAUUUGCUACCUUGCUAUUUUUAUAAUUUCAGUUUACAAAUACCUUUAUCUACCAUACAUAUUGCACUUGUAUCACCAUCUCUUCGCCGAACUAGUGCACCUAUACAAUUUACCAUUGUAUUGGGUGUGUUGGGGACACAAGAGACUCUUUGUUAUUUGGUUGCAGGGUUGUUUGAGAGAGACCAUCUUCAUCCUACGCCUCCUACAGAUUGAUAAACCUUAGGUCAUCCACUUGAGGGAACUUUGCUACUGUCCUACAAACCUGUGCACUUGCAGGCCCAACAACAUCUACAAGAAGAAGGUUGUGUAGUAGACAUCAAGCUCUUUUCUGGCGCCGUUGCCGGGGAGUCUAGGUAGACGGUAUUCACACCCCGUCAACUAAGCUCUUUUCUGGUGCCGUUGCCGGGAGGUGAGUGCUUGAAGGUCUAUCUUUAGAUCUUGCAACCGAAUCUUUUUGUUUCUUGUUUUAUCACUAGUUUAUUUUAUAAAAGAAAACUACAAAAAAAUGGAAUUGAGUUUGUCUCAUACGCUUCAUCUUUUUAAUAUCUUUCGUGAGAAUGAUGGUAAGGAAAAUUGUGCUCAAUUGCUAGAAGAAGAAAUCUAUAAAAUGUUUGUCACUAAAUCUUUGAAUGAUGAGCAUGAUUGCAAUGUUGUUAGUAUGAACUCUUUGAAUAUCCAUGAUGCUAAUGAUAUGCAAAGCCACAAGCUUGGGGAAGCUAUGUUUGAUGAAUAUGAUAUUUUUUGUCCCCCAUGUUUUGAUGAGCAAAUUUAUUUUGAUGAUAGCAUGCCUCCUAUUUAUGAUGAUUAUAUUGAUCCCACUAUUUUGGAGGAUAUUGAUCCCACUAUUUUGGAGGAUAUUGAAUCUUAUUGUGAUGAAUAUGAAAGUGGAUUUGGAAGAGUGUCAACUUUAUUUAGUGAUGAUUCCACUAUUUCGGAAGAGGUUCCAAUUGAUUUUGAGAACAAAGUUGCUAUCUAUGAUGAUUGUUGUGAUGACUUGUAUGCUAUUAAGAAUAAUGAUAACCAUGAAACUUGUCAUCAUGAUUUUAUGCCUCACAUGAUAGUUAUUUUGUUGAGUUUGCUCCCACUAUUAUUCAUGAGAAGAAAUUUGCUUAUGUGGAGAGUAAUAAAAAUUCUAUGCUUGUAGAUCAUGAAAAUAAUGCUUUAUGUGCUGGUUAUAUUGUUGAAUUUAUUCAUGAUGCUACUGAAAAUUAUUAUGAGAGAGGAACAUAUGCUUGUAGGAAUUGCAAUAAUAUCAAGUUUCCUCCCUAUGUGUUGAAAUUCUUGAAGCUAUGCUUGUUUUGCCUUCCUAUGCUAGUUGAUUGUUGUUCCCAUAAGUUGUUUGCUCCCAAAAUCCCUAUGCAUAGGAAGUGGGUUAGACUUAAAUGUGCUAGUCAUAUUCUUCAUGAUGCUCCCGUUAUGUUUCAAUUCUUAUCCUUUAUGUGAGCAUCAUUUCAUCAUGCCUAGCUAAAAAGGCAUUAAAAAAAGCGCUUGUUGGGAGACAACCCAAUAUUUAUCCUUACUGUUUUUGUGUGUCCACAUGAUUAUGCCACUGUAGUAAUCAUGUUUAUAGCUUUUGUUUCAAUAAAGUUCCAAGUAGAACCUUUGGGAAGACUUGGGUGAAGUCUUUAUGAUCAUGCUGUAAAAAACAGAAACUUUAGCGCUCACGAGAUUAGCUUCCAGUUUUUACAGAAGAGUGAUUUUAGGUUGAUUCUUUUUGCAGAUGAUUAAUAGACAAAUUCUUCAGGUCCACAAAUUUAUUUCAUAAUUUUUGGGGUUCCAUAAGUAUACGUUUGAUACAGAUUACUACAGACUGUUCUGUUUUUGAUAGAUUCUGUUUUCUAUGUGUUGUUUACUUAUUUUGAUGAAUCUAUGGCUAGUAUGUAAGGGUAUGAACCAUUGAGAACUUAGAAUACAGUAGAUAUUACACCAAUAUGAAUUUAUAAUGAGUUCAUUACAUUACCUAAGUGGUGAUUUAUUUUCUUAUACUAACGGAGCUUACAAGUUUUGUGUUGAGUUUUGUGUGGUUGAAGUUUUCAAGUUUUGGGUAAGGAUUCAAUGGACUAUGGAAUAAGGAGUGGCAGGAGCCUAAGCUUGGGGAUGCCCAAGGCACCCCAAGUUAAUAUUCAAGGACAACCAAGCAACUAAGCUUGGGGAUGCCCCGGAAGGCAUCCCCUCUUUCAUCUUCGUUCAUCAGUAACUUUACUUGGAGCUAUCCACAAGAUAUGUGUUUUGCUUGGAGCUUCAAUUUAUUUUUUUAGUAUUUGCUUGCUGUUAUUUAGAAUAAUUUUUUGCUUCUUUAUUUUCAAUAAAAAUGUCAAGGAUAGCCUUUACCAUGCUUAUUUUGCUAGUAUGCAUGUUGCUGUUUGAAAAUAGAAAGUUUUCCGCUGUUGCAAAAAUUCCCUAGAAAAGUCAGAGAGUGAUAUAUAAUGUUGAAUCUUUUUGCAUAAUGAGCUCUGAUAAAUGUUUUACAUCAUAGUAUUUUUCUUAUAAUUUUUGGAGUUAGGGAAGUAUGAUGAAUCUUGCAUUCUUUACAGACUAUACUGUUUUGGCAGAUUGCUGUUAUGUUUGCAUUGUUUGCAUAUGCUUGCUUGUUUAAUGAUUCUAUUUUAGGAUACAUUUAGUAUGCAAUGUCGAAUAAUAAUUUUAGUAAUUUGUUACAGUAGAAAAUGAUAAGGUUUUGCAUUGGUUUAUACUAACCUAUCUCACAAGUUCUUGUUGAGUUUGUUGUGGAUGAAGCUUUUGAUAAAAAGAAGAGAAACCAUGAUAUGAGAGGAAUUAAGGAGACACAAAAGUCCAAGCUUGGGGAUGCCCAAGGCUCCCCAAGAUAAUAUUUCAAGAAGUCUCAAGCAUCUAAGCUUGGGGAUGCCCCGGUAGGCAUCCCACCUUUCUUCUUCAACAACUAUCGAUCAGUAUCGGUUGAGCCUAAGUUUUUGCUUCUUCACAUGAGUUGUGCUAUCCUUGCAAUGCCAUUUUAUUUUGUUUUGGUUGCUGCUUGAAUACAUACCAAGAUCUGAAAUUGUUUAAUGAGAGAGAGUCUUCACAUAGUUGCAUAAUUAUUUAGCUACCCAUUGGUCUUCACUUAUAUCUUUUUGGAGUAGUUUGUCAUUUGCUCUAGUGCUUCACUUAUAUUAUUUUGAGAGUCUUAAACAGUAUGGUAAUUUGAAUGAAAACUAUCAUAGAAGUGAAUUGGAUGCUAUGAUCAACUUGGUACUUGAUAAUUGUUUUGAGAUAGGGGGGUAGUGAUAUUAAUGUCAUGCUAGUUGGGUGAUUAUGAAUUUAAAGAAUACUUGUGUUGAAGUUAGCAAGUCCCAUAGCAUGCACGUAUGGUUAAAGUUGUGUAACAAAUUUGAAGCAUGAAGUGUACCUGGCUUGUGCAUCCUUAUGAGUGGCGGUCGGGGACGAGCGAUGGUCUUUUCGUACCAAUCGAUCCCCCUAGGAGCAUGCGCGUAGUGCUUGGUUUUUGAUGACUUCUAAAUUUUUGCAAUAAGUAUAUGAGUUCUUUUGACUAAUGUUGAGUCCAUGGAUUAUACGCACUUUUACCUUUCCAUCAUUGCUAGCCUCUUCGAUACCGUGCAUUUCCCUUUCUCACCUUGAGAGUUGGUGCAAACUUCGCCGGUGCAUCCAAACCCCGUGAUAUGAUACGCUCUAUCACACAUAAGCCUCAUUGUAUCUUCCUCAAAACAGCCACCAUACCUACCUAUUUAUGGCAUUUCCAUAGCCAUUCCGAGAUAUACUGCCAUGAAACUUUCCACCAUUCCGUUCAUCAUCAUCAUGACAUACAUUACUUUUGUCAUAUUGCCAUUGCAUGAUCAUGUAGUUGAUAUCGUAUUUGUGGCAAAGCCACCAUUCAUAAUUUUUAUACAUGUCACUCUUGAUUCAUUGCACCAUCCUGGUACACCACCAGAGGCAUUCAUAUAGAGCCAUAUCUUGUUCUAGUUUCGAGUUGUAAUUCAUGUGUUGUAAUCAAUAGAAGUGUGAUGAUCAUCAUUAUUAGAGCAUUGCCCAAGAAAAGAAAAAAAUAAAAAUAAUAAAAUAAAAUAAAUAAAUAAAAGGGCAAUGCUAGUACCUCUUUUUCCACACUUGUGCUUCAAAGUAGCACCUUGUUCUUUAUUGAGUCUCAUAUAUUGUUCUUCAAAGUAGCACCAUGUUCUUCAUGUAGAGAGUCUCAUGUGUUGUCACUUUGAUAUACUAGUGGGAUUUUUUCAUUAUAGAACUUGGCUUGUAUAUUCCUACGAUGGGCUUCCUCAAAUGCCCUAGGUCUUCGUGAGCAACCAAGUUGGAUGCACACCCACUAGUUUUCUUUUGUUGAGCAUUCAUUUAUAGCUCUAGUGCAUCCGUUGCAUGGCAAUCCCUACUCCUCAGUUGACAUCAAUUGAUGGGCAUUCCCAUAGCCCAUUGGUUAUCCUCGUCAAUAUGAGACUUUCUCUUUUUUUGUCUUCUCCACACAAUCCCCAAUCAUUAUUCUAUUCCACCCAUAGUGCUAUAUCCAUGGCUCACACUCAUGUAUUGCGUGAAGGUUGAAAAAGUUUGAGAUUAUUUAAGUACGAAACAAUUGCUUGGCUUGUCAUCGGGGGUAUAGAAGUUGGGAACAUCUUUGUGUGACAAAAAUGAAGCAUAGCCUAACUAUAUGCUUUUGUAGGGAUGAACUUUCUUUUGCCAUGUUAUUUUGAGAAGACAUGAUUGCUUUUAUUAGUAUGCUGAAGUAUUGCUAUUUCUUUUAUCAAUAUGAACUUUUAUUUUGAAUCAUUUGGAUCUGAACAUUCAUGCCACAAUAAAGAAAAAUUACAUUGAGAAUCAUGCUAGGUAGCAUUUCACAUCAAAAAAAUCUGUUUUUAUCAUUUACCUACUCGAGGACGAGCAGGAAUUAAGCUUGGGGAUGCUUGAUACGUCUCCAAUGUAUCUAUAAUAUUUUAUUGUUCCAUGCUAUUAUAUUAUCUAUUUUGAAUGAUUAUGGGCUUUAUUAUACACUUAUAUAUUACUUUUGGGACUAACCUAUUAACCGGAGGCCCAGCCCAUAUUGCUGUUUUAUUGCCUGUUUCAGUAUUUCGAAGAAAAGGAAUAUCAAACGGAGUCCAAACAGAAUGAAACCUUCAGCAAUGUGAUUUUUUGGAAGAAUAACAUCCAGGAGACUUGGAGUUCACGUCAGAAGACCCUCGAGGAGGCCAUGAGAUAGGAGGGCGCCCCCACCUCCCUACUAGGCGCGCCCCCUGUCUCGUGGGCCCGUCGAGCACCUCCCGACCGACUUCUUUCGCCUAUAUAUUCCCUCAUACCCUAAAAACAUUGAAUAUCAAGAUAGAUCGGGAGUUCCGUCGCCGCAAGCCUCUGUAGCCACCAAAAACCUCCCGGGAGCCCUUCCCGGCACCCUGCCGGAGGGGGGAUCCUUCACCGGUGGCCGUCUUCAUCAUCCCGGCACUAUCCAUGACGAGGAGGGAGUAGUUCACCCUCGAGGCUGAGGGUAUGUACCAGUAGCUAUGUGUUUGAUCUCUCUUUCUCGUGUUCUCUCUCGUGUUCCCUCUAUGGCACGAUCUUGAUGUAUCCCGAGCUUUGCUAUUAUAGUUGGAUCUUAUGAUGUUUCUCCCCCUCUACUCUCUUGUAAUGGAUUGAGAUUUCCCCUUUGAAGUUAUCUUAUCGGAUUGAGUCUUUAUUUGAGAACACUUGAUGUAUGUCUUGCCGUGAUUAUCUGUGGUGACAAUGGGAUAUCAUGUGCCACUUGAUGUAUGUUUUGGUGACCAACUUGCGGGUUCCGUCCAUGAACCUAUGCAUAGGGGUUGGCACACGUUCUUGACUCUCCGGUAGAAACUUUGGAGCACUCCUUGAAGUACUUUGUGUUGGUUGAAUAGAUGAAUCUGAGAUUGUGUGAUGCAUAUCGUAUAAUCAUGAACACGGAUACUUGAGGUGACAAUGGAGUAUCUAGGUGACAUUAGGGUUUUGGUUGAUUUGUGUCUUAAGGUGUUAUUCUAGUACGAACUCUUGAAUAGAUUGAUCCAAAAGAAUAACUUUGAGAUGGUUUCGUACCCUACCAUAAUCUCUUCGUUUGUUCUCCGCUAUUAGUGGCUUUGGAGUGACUCUUUGUUGCAUGUUGAGGUAUUGUUAUAUGAUCUAUCUAUGUUAUUAUUGUUGAGAGAACUUGCACUAGUGAAAGUAUGAACCUUAGGCCUAGUUUCCUAUCAUUGCAAUACCGUUUGUGCUCACUUUUAUUAUUUGCUACCUUACUGUUUUUAUAAUUUCAGUUUACAAAUACCUUUAUCUACCAUACAUAUUGCACUUGUAUCACCAUCUCUUCACCAAACUAGUGCACCUAUACAAUUUACCAUUGUAUUGGGUGUGUUGGGGACACAAGAGACUCUUUCUUAUUUGGUUGCAGGGUUGUUUGAGAGAGACCAUCUUCAUCCUACGCCUCCUACGGAUUGAUAAACCUUAGGUCAUCCACUUGAGGGAAAUUUUCUACUGUCCUACAAACCUGUGCACUUGCGGCCCAACAACGUCUACAAGAAGAAGGUUGUGUAGUAGCCAUCAGUCAUCCACUUGAAGGAAAUUUGAUACUGUCCUACAAACCUGUGCACUUACAGGCCCAACAACGUCUACAAGAAGAAGGUUGUGUAGUAGAAAUCAAGCUCUUUUCUGGCGCCGUUGCCGGGGAGGCUAGGUAAGAGGCACUCACACCCCGUCAACUAAGCUCUUUUCUUGCGCCGUUGCCGGGGAGGUGAGUGCUUGAAGGUAUAUCUUUAGAUCUUGUAAUCAAAUCUUUUUGUUUCUUGUUUUAUCACUAGUUUAGUCUAUAAAAGAAAACUAAAAAAUGGAGUUAAGUUUGUCUCAUACGCUUCGUCCUUUUAAUAUCUUUCGUGAGAAUGAUGGUAAGGAAAAUUGUGCUCAAGUGCUAGAAGAAGAAAUCUAUAAAAUGUUUGUCACUAAAUCUUCGAAUGAUGAGCAUGAUUGCAAUUUUGUUAGUAUGAACUCAUUGAAUAUCCAUAGUACUAAUGAUGAUUGCACUAGUCAUGAUGAAAAUAUCUCUUAUGAACAUGUCAACUUUUGUGGAGUGCAUGUUUGCAUGAACACAUCGAAUAGAGAAGAUAUAUAUUGCAAGAGGCAUAAGUAUUUAGAAACGAAAAGGUUGCAAGAAAUUCUUGAUGUUUGUGCUGAAAAAUUCAAUAUUUUUCGUGCUCCUUGUGAACUUUGCAAUGAACGUGGUCAUUUAAAUCUCCAAUGCAAAUUGUUUCAUGACCAAAUCAUAUCCAAAAAUUGUGAUAAUUUUAUUACCCUUGAGCAUCAUAAACUGCUUAGUCUUCUUUUGGGGUAUGAAGAAAUGAAACGUAUAACUGAGGGUAUUCCAAAGUUUAAUCUUGAUAGAUUUCUUGAUUUUGAUCUAGAGAAGAUUUAUUUGUAUUGUGCGGUGAAUUGCAUUAAAAAUCCUUAUAUUGCCAAUUACAUAAAGAAAAGAAAGCAAAUAGAAGAUGGUGAGAAUACUAAUGAAAGGGAAGAGACUUCCCAAUGUCCUCCUAUUAUUUCUUAUGAUGAUUCAGGUAACGAGGAGGAGCUUUUUAUUCAACCAAUCCCUUCAAUAAAGAAGGUUGAAUCCACACAUAAUGUAAAGAAGAAAAGGAAGAGAAGGGGCAGCAAAGGUAAAAAGGUAUCCCUCCCAAAUGAUGUUGCUCCUACUACUCAUUGUGAUAAUGAUAAUUUCUAUACUAUUGGAGGAUGCUACGUUUAGUGAAGAUAAUAUUUUUAGCAUCCCAAGUUUUGAUAUGCAAAGUUGUUAUGAUGAUAGCAUGCCUCCUACCUAUGAUGAUUAUAUUGAUGAAAGUGGGUUCGGAAGAGUGUCAACUUUAGGAAGUAGUGAUCCCACUAUUUUGGAGGAUGUUGAAUCUUCUUGUGAUGAAUAUGAAAGUGGAUUUGGAAGAGUGUCAACUUUAUUUAGUGACGAUUCCACUAUCUUGGGAGAGAUUUCAAUCGAUUAUGAUGAGAACGAAGUUGCUACUUAUGAUGAUUAUUGUGAUGAAACUUAUGCUAUAAAAAGUAGUGAUGAUUAUAUUUAUAAAACUUGUCAUGAUUAUGAUUACCCUUUUUCUGAACAUUACUCUUUUAAUGUGGAAACAAUUUAUAGUAUUCAAGUCUCUUAUGAUACUCCCACCAUUCCGAUCGAAUAAGAAGAAUUUUGCUUAUGUGGAGAGUAAUAAAAAUUAUAUGCUUGUAGAUCAUGAAAGGAAUGCUUUAGGUUCUGGUUAUAUUGUUAAAUUCAUUCAUGAUGCUACUGAAAAUUAUUAUGAGGGAGGAAUAUAUGCUUGUAGGAAUAGCAAUAAUGCCAAGUUUCCUCCUUAUGUGCUUAAAGUUUUGAAGUUAUGCUUGUUUUACCCUCCUAUGCUAAUUGAUUAUUGUUCCCAUAAGUUUUUUGCUCACAAAAUCCCUAUGCAUAGGAAGUGGGUUAGACUUAAAUGUGCUAGUCAUAUUCUUCAUGAUUCUCUCUUUAUGUUUCAAUUCUUAUCUUUUAUGUGAGCAUCUUUGAAAUCAUGAUGCCUAGCUAGAAAGGCAUUAAAGGAAAGCGCUUGUUGGGAGACAGCCCAAUAUUUAUCUUUACUGUUUUUGUGUGUCCACAUGAUUAUGAUACUCUAGUAAUCAUGUUUUAUAGCUUCUGUUUCAAUAAAGUGCCAAGUAGAACCUUUGGGAAGACUUGGGUGAAGUCUUUAUGAUCAUGCUGUAAAAAACAGAAACUUUAGCGCUCGCGAGAUUAGCUGCCAUUUUUUACUGGAGAGUGUUUUUAGGUUGAUUCUUUUUGCAGAUGAUUAACAGAAAAAUUCCUCAGGUCCACCAAUUUAUUUCAUAAUUUUUGGGGUUCCAGAAGUAUACGUUUGAUAUAGAUUACUACAGACUGUUCUGUUUUUGACAGAUUCUGUUUUCAUUGUGUUGUUUGCUUAUUUUGAUGAAUCUAUGGCUAGUAUGUAAGGGUAUGAACCAUAGAGAACUUAGAAUACAGUAGAUAUUACACCAAUAUGAAUUUAGAAUGAGUUCAUUACAGUACCUAAGUGGUGAUUCAUUUUCUUAUACUAACAGAGCUUACGAGUUUUGCGUUGAGUUUUGUGUGGUUGAAGUUUUCAAGUUUUGGGUAAGGAUUCGAUGGACUAUGGAAUAAGGAGUGGCAGGAGCCUAAUCUUGGGGAUGCCCAAGGCACCCCAAGGUAAUAUUCAAGGACAACCAAGCAACUAAGCUUGGGGAUGCUCCGGAAGGCAUCCCCUCUUUCGUCUUUGUUCAUCGGUAACUUUACUUGGAGCUAUAUUUUUAUUCACUACAUGAUAUGUGUUUUGCUUGGAGCAUCAUUUUCUUUUGUUAGUAUUUUCUUUAUGUUAUUUAGAUUAAUGUUUUGACUGUUUAGUUUCAAUAAAAAUGUCAAGGAUAGCCUUUACCAUGCUUAUUUUGCAAGUAUGCAUGUUGCUGUUUGAAAACAGAAAGUUUACCGAUGUUGCAAAAUUUUCCUAGAAAAGACAGAGAGUGAUAUAAUGUUGAAUCUUUUUGCAUAAUGAGUUCUGAUAAAUCUUUUAAAGCGUAGUAUUUUUCUUAUAAUUGUUGGAGUUAGGGAAGUAUGAUGAAUCUUGCAUUCUUUACAGACUGUACUGUUUUGGCAGAUUGCUGUUAUGUUUGCAUUGUUUGCAUAUGUUUGCUUGUUUAAUGAUUCUAUUUGAGGAUAGGAGUAUUAAAUAUGCAGAGACAUUUAGUAUUCAAUGUUGAAUAAUAAUCUUAGUGAUUUGUUAUAGUAGAGAUGAUAAGGUUUUGCAUUGGUUUAUACUAACCUAUCUCACAAGUUCUUGUUGAGUUUGUUGUGGAUGAAGCUUUUGAUAAAAAGAGAAACCAUGAUAUGAGAGGAAUUAAGGAGACACAAAAGCUCAAGCUUGGGGAUGCCCAAGGCACCCCAAGAUAAUAUUUCAAGAUGUCUCAAGCAUCUAAGCUUGGGGAUGCCCCGGUAGGCAUCCCACCUUUGUUCUUCAACAACUAUCGGUUAGUAUCGGUUGAACCUAAGUUUUUGCUUCUUCACAUGAGUUGUGCUAUCCUUGCAAGGUCAUUUUUUUUCUUUGCUUGCUGUUUGAAUAAAAUACCAAGAUCUGAAAUUAUUUAAUGAGAGAGUGUCUUCACAUAGUUACAUUAUUAUUUAGCUACUCAUUGAUCUUCACUUAUAUCUUUCAGAGUAGUUUGUCGUUUGCUCUAGUACUUCACUUAUAUAGUUUUAGAGCACGGCGGUGGUUUUAUUUUGUAGCAAUUAAUGAACUCUCAUGCUUCACUUAUAUUAUUUUGAGAGUCUUAAAUAGCAUGGUAUUUUGAAUGAAAACUAUCAUAGGAAGUGAACUGGAUGCUAGGAUCAAUUUGAUGCUUGAUAAUUGUUUUGAGAUAUAAAGGUAGUAAUGUUAGGGUCAUGCUAGUGGAUAAUUAUGAAAUUGAGAAAUACUUUUGUUGAAGUUCGCAAGUCCCGUAGCAUGCACGUAUGGUAAAAGUUGUGUGACAAAUUUGUUGCACGAGGUGCUCUUUUGAGUGUCUUCCUUAUGAGUGGCAGUCGGGGAUGAGUGAUGGAUUUUUCCUACCAAUCUAUCCCUCUUGGGGCAUGCGUAGUAGUACUUUGCUUCAGGGGCUAAGUAGAUUUUUGCAAUAAGUAUAUGAGUUCUUUAUGACUAAUGUGAGUCCAUGGAUAUACGCACACUCAUCCUUCCACUUAGCUAGCCUCUAUUUUACCGCGCAAUUUUCACCGGUAGCAUAAACCCAUUAUUUACCUUCCUCAAAACAGCCACCAUACCUACCUAUUAUGGCAUUCCCAUAGCCAUUCCGAGAUAUAUUGCCAUGCAAUUUUCCACCAUUCCGUUGAUUAUGACAUGUUUCAUCAUUGUCAUAUUGCUCUUUGCAUGAUCAUGUAGUUGACAUCGUAUUUGUGGCAAAGCCACCUUCUUAAUUUUCAUACAUGUGACUCUUGAUUCAUUGCAUAUCCCGGUACACCGCCGGAGGCAUUCAUAUAGAGUCAUAUUUUGUUCUAGCUUUGAGUUGUAAUUCUUGAGUUGUAAAUCCAUAAAAGUGUCAUGAUCUUCAUUAUUAGAGCAUUGUCCCAGUGAGGAAAGGAUGAUGAAGACUAUCCCCCACAAGUCGGGAUGGGACUUCGGACUUUAUAAAAAUAAAAGAGGCCAAAGAAGCCCACAAAAGGAAAAAAAGGAAAAAAAAGAGAAAGAAAAAAAGAAAGAAAAAAAGGGAAAAAAGAAAAAGAAAAAAAUAAAUGAGAGAAAAAGAGAGAAGGGACAAUUGCUACUAUCUCUUUUCCACACUUGUGCUUCAAAAAUAGCACCAUGAUCUUCAUGAUAGAGAGUCUCAUAUGUUGUCACUUUCAUAUACUAGUGGGAAUUUUUCAUUAUAGAACUUGGCUUGUAUAUUCCAAUGAUGGUCUUCCUCAAAAGGCCCUAGGUCUUCAUGAGCAAGCAAGUUGGAUGCACACCCACUUAGUUUCUUUUGUUGAGCUUUCAUAUAUUUAUAGCUCUAGUGCAUCCGUUGCAUGGCAAUCCCUACUCACUCACAUUGAUAUCUAUUGAUGGGCAUCUCCAUAGCCCGUUGAUACGCCUAGUUGAUGUGAGACUAUCUUCUCCCACUUUUUUUCCUCACAACCACCACAUUAGACCACCAUAGUGUUAUGUCCAUGGCUUGCACUCAUGUAUUGCGUAAGAGUUGAAAAGCUGAAGCGCGUUAAAAAGUAUGAACCAAUUGCUCGGCUCGUCAUUGGGGUUGUGCAUGAUGGGAGUAUUUUGUGUAAUGAAAAUGAAGCAUGGCCUAACUAUAUGAUUUUGUAGGGAUAAGCUUUCUUUGGCUAUGUUAUUUUGAUAGGACAUGAUUAUUUGUUAGUAUGCUUUGAAGCAUUAUUAUUUUUAUGUUUUAUAAGCUUUUAUCUUGAGUCAUUUGGAUCUGAACACUCAUGCUACAUUAAAGAAAAUUACAUUGAGAAUUAUGCUAGGUAGCAUUCCGCAUCAAAAAUUCUGUUUUUAUCAUUUACCUACUCGAGGACGGGCAGGAAUUAAGCUUGGGGAUGCUUGAUACGUCUCCAACGUAUCUAUAAUUUUUUAUUGUUCCAUGCUAUUAUAUUACCUGUUUUGAAUGAUUAUGGGCUUUAUUAUACACUUUUAUAUUACUUUUGGGACCAACCUAUUAACCGGAGGCCCAGCCCAUAUUGCUGUUUUAUUGCCUGUUUCAGUAUUUCGAAGAAAAGGAAUAUCAAACGGAGUCCAAAAAGAAUGAAAGCUUCGGCAACGUGAUUUUUUGGAAGAUUAUCAUCCUGGAGACUUGGAGUUCACGUCAGAAGAUACUCGAGGAGCCCAGGAGAUAGGGGGCGCCCCCCCUACUGGGCGCGCCCCCUGUCUCGUGGACCCCUCGAGCACCUCCCGACCGACUUCUUUCGCCUAUAUAUUCCCUCGUACCCUAAAAACACCGAAUAUCAAGAUAGAUCGGGAGUUUCGCCGCUGCAAGCCUCUGUAACCACCAGAAGCCUCUCCGGAGCCCUUCUCGGCACCCUGCUGGAGGGGUGAUCCUUCACCGGUGGCCAUCUUCAUCAUCCCGGCGCUCUUCAUGACAAGGAGGGAGUAGUUCACCCUCGAGGCUGAGGGUAUGUACCAGUUGCUAUGUGUUUGAUCUCUCUCUCUCGUGUUCUCUCUCGUGUUCCCUCUAUGGCACGAUCUUGAUGUAUCCCGAGAUUUGCUAUUGUAGUUGGAUCUUAUGAUGUUUCUCCCCCUCUACUCUCUUAUGAUGAAUUGAGUUUUCCUUUGGAAGUUAUCUUAUCGGAUUGAGUCUUUUAUGAGAACACUUGAUGUAUGUCUUGCCGUGCUUAUCUGUGGUGACAAUGGGAUAUCAUGUGCCACUUGAUGUAUGUUUUGGUGACCAACUUGCGGGUUCCGCCCAUGAACCUAUGCAUAGGGGUUGGCACACGUUCUUGACUCUCCGGUAGAAACUUUGGGGCACUCCUUGAAGUACUUUGUGUUGGUUGAAUAGAUGAAUCUGAGAUUGUGUGAUGCUUAUCGUAUAAUCAUGAACACGGAUACUUGAGGUGACAAUGGAGUAUCUAGGUGACAUUAGGGUUUUGGUUGAUUUGUGUCUUAAGGUGUUAUUCUAGUACAAACUCUUGAAUAUAUUGAUCCGAAAGAAUAACUUUGAGGUGGUUUCGUACCCUACCAUAAUCUCGUUGUUUGUUCUCUACUAUUAGUUUCUUUGGAGUGACUCUUUGUUGCAUGUUGAGGGAUUGUUCUAUGAUCUAUCUAUGUUAUUAUUGUUGAGAGAACUUGCACUAGUGAAAGUAUGAACCUUAGGCCUUGUUUCCUAUCAUUGCAAUACCGUUUAUGCUCACUUUUAUCAUUAGUUACCUUGCUGUUUUUAUAAUUUCAGAUUACAAAUACCUUUAUCUACCAUCCAUAUUGCACUUGUAUCACCAUCUCUUCGCCGAACUAGUGCACCUAUACAAUUUACCAUUGUAUUGGGUGUGUUGGGGACACAAGAGACUCUUUGUUAUUUGGUUGCAGGGUUGUUUGAGAGAGACCAUCUUCAUCCUAUGCCUCGUACGGAUUGAUAAACCUUAGCUCAUCCACUUGAGGGAAAUUUUGCUACUGUCCUACAAACCUGUGCACUUGCAGGCCCAACAACGUCUACAAGAAGAAGGUUGUGUAGUAGACAUCAAGCUCUUUUCUGGCGCCGUUGCCGGGGAGGCUAGGUAAGCGGCACUCACACCCCGUCAACUAAGAUCUUUUCUGGCACCGUUGCCGAGGAGGUGAGUGCUUGAAGGUAUAUCUUUAGAUCUUGCAAUCGAAUCUUUUUGUUUCUUGUUUUAUCACUAGUUUAGUCUAUAAAAGAAAACUAAAAAAUGGAGUUAAGUUUGUUUCAUACGCUUCGUCUUUUUAAUAUCUUUCGUGAGAAUGAUGGUAAGGAAAAUUGUGCUCAAGUGCUAGAAGAAGAAAUCUAUAAAAUGUUUGUCACUAAAUCUUUGAAUGAUGAGCAUGAUUGCAAUGUUGUUAGUAUGAACUCUUUGAAUAUCCAUAGUACUAAUGAUGAUUGCACUAGUCAUGAUGAAAAUAUCUCUUAUGAGCAUGUCAACUUUUGUGGAGUGCAUGUUUGCAUGAACACACCGAAUAGAGAAGAUAUAUAUUGCAAGAGGCAUAUGUAUUUAGAAACUAAAAGGUUGCAAGAAAAUCUUGAUGUUUGUGCUGAAAAAUUCAAUAUUUUUUGCGCUCCUUGUGAACUUUGCAAUGAAUGUGGUCAUUUAAAUCUCCAAUGCAAAUUGUUUCAUGACCAAAUCGUAUUCAAAAAUUGUGAUAAUUUGAUUACCCUUGAGCAUCAUAAACAGCUUAGUCUUCUUUUGGGGUAUGAAGAAAUGAAACGUAUAACUGAGGGUAUUCCAAAGUUUAAUCUUGAUAGAUUUCUUGAUUUUGAUCUAGAGAAGAUUUAUUUGUAUUGUGCGGUGAAUUGCAUUAAAAAUCCUUAUAUUGCCAAUUACAUAAAUAAAAGAAAGCAAAUAGAAGAUGAUGAUAAUACUAAUGAAAGGGAAGAGACUUCCCAAUGUCCUCCUAUUAUUUCUUAUGAUGAUUCAGGUAACGAGGAGGAGCUUUUUAUUCAACCAAUCCCUUCAAUAAAGAAGGUUGAAUCCACACAUAAUGUAAAGAAGAAAAGGAAGAGAAGGGGCAACAAAGGUAGAAAGGUAUCCCUCCCAAAUGAUGUUGCUCCUACUACUCAUUGUGAUGAUGAUAAUUGCUAUACUAUUGGUGCUAUCCAUACUAUUGAUGAUGAUUAUGCUUAUGAUAUGAAAGGGACCAAGCUUGGGGAAGCUAUGUUUGAUGAGGAUGAAAUAUUUGAGAAUAUAUUUGCUGAAAUUAAUGUUUGUCCCAAGCUUGGGGAUGCUAUGUUUAGUGAAGAUAAUAUUUUUAGCAUCCCAAGUUUUGAUAUGCAAAGUUGUUAUGAUGAUAGAAUGCCUCCUACCUAUGAUGAUUAUAUUGAUGAAAGUGGGUUCGGAAGAGUGUCAACUUUAGGAAGUAGUGAUCCCACUAUUUUGGAGGAUGUUGAAUCUUAUUGUGAUGAAUAUGAAAGUGGAUUUGGAAGAGUUUCAACUUUAUUUAGUGAUGAUUCCACUAUCUUGGGAGAGGUUUCAAUCGAUUAUGAUGAGAACGAAGUUGCUACUUAUGAUGAUUAUUGUGAUGAAACUUAUGCUAUAAAAAGUAGUGAUGAUUAUAUUUGUAAAACUUGUCAUGAUUAUGAUUACCAUUUUUCUGAACAUUACUCUUUUAAUGUGGAAACAAUUUAUAGUAUUCAAGUCUCUUAUGAUACUCCCACCAUUCCAAUCGAAUAAGAAGAAUUUUGCUUAUCACUAGUAGAAAAACACCUAAUAGUCCCGGUUCGUAAGGGCCUUUAGUCCCGGUUCAUGAACCGGGACUAAUGGGUCGUUACUAAUACCUCCACCCAUUAGUCCCGGUUCAAACAUGAACCAGGACCAAUGUGCCUCCACGUGGCCCUGUGCACCGAGCCCAGUCAGGGGGCCUUUGGUCCCGGUUGGUGGCUCCAACCGGGACCAAAAGUCCAUGUUUUUUUAGAAAAGUGGCUGCUUUAGGGGUUUUGGGGGUUAUUUUUAGGUUGUUAUUAGCUAGCUAAUAGAUAGAAGUGUCCUCUCUUAUAUCUUCGUCCUUGGUUUACCAACGCUGCUGCUAUAUAUGUUCAUUUCACCCGCUGAUAUAAUAACUCAUGCAUGCUCGCAUCAUACAUCAUCAUAUAUAAUAACAAGUCCUACUAAUCAUGCAUCAUCAUACAACUUCUACUCGUUAUUAAUAAUAAGUCAUACGAUCAUCAUCCUCAUAGUCAUCGAACCCAACCCUACAUAAUUGUUCUUAGCACAUGAUCAUCAGUAUCAGGUAGGACAUGACCUAAACACCCUUAAGGUAAAAUAGCAUAAAACAAUAUAGACCCCGACUCUCCAUUAUGAAGAAUGGCGAUCAUCCUGUCUCCAAUUUUUGCCCUUCGCUGAUUGUUGCUUCCAAGAAGCUCUUUACGACUGUCCAUACAUUUUUUCCAUUCUUUGAUUGUCAUGUCUCCACUUCUUUUAGAAACCCGGUAUGGACAGUUCAGAUUCGUAGGAAGACCUGGUUGUAUGUUCAAAACAUGAAGGCUACCAUGUGUAUACAUCAGAUGAGGCACACAAUCAUUCGGGAUUAUCUAUUGAAAAACAUAGUAAUAACUUCGUAGUUAGCAAUGAUGUACUAGUUUUAGAAGUGUGCUAAAAGAUGCACGGAUGUCGUAAUAGUAAAAAAUCUUACCAGGGUAUCUCCAUGGUAGUUACCGUAGUUCAACACGUGCACUAGUGGCACGUAUUGACCAUAAUGUUGAGGAGUUUGAUUGUAGAUAUUGUAAUUCUCAAGAUCAGUACAAAAUGCGACCAGAUGAUUUUUCUCCUGAUAAGUUAGUUCGGAGCCUUCGGUGUAGUAGGUUCUGUCUACCAUCUUCCGCACAUUCUUUGAAGAAUGAAAAUAAGCUGUCAAUGGAAAUAAGUUGUCAACUAUUUUGAAAUAAACAAUAUAAAUUACUUAAUAACUAUGUUAAGCUCACAUGGGGGAAGAAUUGGAGGUGUAUCCACAAGGAUGAAAAUCAAAGGUCUCUCUUGCGCGAUUGUAGGAUCACCAAGAUCCAUGGUGAUAAGCAUACCCUCAUCAAAACCAUACAUCUUGCGAAGUGCUUCCCAGUUUUGCAACCAAAAUGGGUUACACUCUGAGCAUUGUACAACUUUACUUGAAAAUCCACACCAUGAUGGGUACUUAGGAUAAUUUUUUUGGUUUCCAUACUUUCAUGGUCUUCAAAACCCAUCCUCUCCAAGACAUAGCGUCUUGCAAAGCAUGGGAUAAGCUAGUAGAAUUGGAAAAGAUGAAAAAUACACGUUAAAAUAGUUGAAGUCGUGCUUAAUUACGAAAAAACUAUUGUCGUUGUUGCGUACCGUAUGAACAUCGAAGGUCUCCUCGAGCUUAAUGCUGAAGCACCGAUCUUCGUCCAACUCAAUGAACCUGUCGCACAUACCUCGGUCGUCGUGGCACCAGUCGCACUCCCCCGGGCGGUUUUCAUCGUCCGAGUACGACAUUUUCGGCCUAAGUUCAUAAUUCAAAUAGUAAAUAUAUGUACUAAAAAACCUAAAUUAGAUCAUUAUUAUUAAUCACGGGUUGACUAUCAGUGAUGGUAUGUAGCUCCUCCUUUCAUUCCCGAGUGCAUUAUUACAACAAAUUGUCUAGCACACGGGAAUGAAGGAGAAGCCACCCCCACGACGGCGUGGAUGAUGGAGGGGGCUCCUAGAUUUCUGCAUGGAGUGCUCUUCAAUUUUAGCAUUCAACGUAGGAGUACUUUUCCAAUAUGAGCAUUCAAUAAGCAAAACCAAAUCGUAAAAUAAAGUAGUAUUCAAAUUAGCAUACAUUCAAUUAUAACCAAAAGUACAUCAUCUCUUGUGUCCGUACAUCAUCGAAUACUCCUCGAAUACUAUCAUACAUAUAACAUCGCUAAUUAAUACAGCUAGAACCGUAGCGCCCGACGGGUAUCGUCGCGGGCGGUGGACACCCAAAGAUAAGGAACGAUCACAGGAUCAUAGCUCCAGUGAGAUCCCUGAAAAACCUGCCAGGUAUUGUCAAACCUGCCCUCCAACGCAACCAUGUAGCGACGGACGUGCUCGUCCUCCUCGCUAACACGGUGACGUACCACCUCCGCGGUGUCCGAAAGCCUCGGCACCGUCACUGGCCCACGCGACCGCCACCAAACAAGGAUCGGGUCAACAACGGGCUGCCUCCUCACCAACCUACGUCCCCCGAAAGGUAGCACCUCCCAAUACCAGCCCGGCGGAGCCCAGUCCCGAACAUGGCCCUGAUCAAGCAGGCCUCCACCGCCGAGUCGACGACGACAAGGAUGCAGGAUAGGCAUCGCCAACGUCGAUGCGGGAACUACGUACUUCUAUAUAUAGUUAAAUAAAGUAGUUUUAUUAAUUAAAUCAACUAUCUAGUUCAACUACUAAGCACUUACUAUAAAUAAAUAAAGUAGCACUUACUAUAAAUAAAUAAAGUAGCACUUACUACAAACUACUUCUAUAUAUAGUUAAUAAAGUAGUUUUAUUAAUUAAAUAAACUAUCUAGUUAAACUACUAAGCACUUACUAUAAAUAAAUAAAGUAGUACUUACUAAAAACAAAGUAGCACUUACUAUAUAGUACUUACUAAAAAUAAACUAGUAUUUUUCUAACUAACUAAUAUUUUUCUAACUAAUUAUAUUACCAAAAAAUCUAAAUAAAAUAGUAACUAUAUUUUUCUAACUAGCUAGUUCAAUUAUAGUACUUACUAACACAAUCNNNNNNNNNNNNNNNNNNNNNNNNNNNNNNNNNNNNNNNNNNNNNNNNNNNNNNNNNNNNNNNNNNNNNNNNNNNNNNNNNNNNNNNNNNNNNNNNNNNNNNNNNNNNNNNNNNNNNNNNNNNNNNNNNNNNNNNNNNNNNNNNNNNNNNNNNNNNNNNNNNNNNNNNNNNNNNNNNNNNNNNNNNNNNNNNNNNNNNNNNNNNNNNNNNNNNNNNNNNNNNNNNNNNNNNNNNNNNNNNNNNNNNNNNNNNNNNNNNNNNNNNNNNNNNNNNNNNNNNNNNNNNNNNNNNNNNNNNNNNNNNNNNNNNNNNNNNNNNNNNNNNNNNNNNNNNNNNNNNNNNNNNNNNNNNNNNNNNNNNNNNNNNNNNNNNNNNNNNNNNNNNNNNNNNNNNNNNNNNNNNNNNNNNNNNNNNNNNNNNNNNNNNNNNNNNNNNNNNNNNNNNNNNNNNNNNNNNNNNNNNNNNNNNNNNNNNNNNNNNNNNNNNNNNNNNNNNNNNNNNNNNNNNNNNNNNNNNNNNNNNNNNNNNNNNNNNNNNNNNNNNNNNNNNNNNNNNNNNNNNNNNNNNNNNNNNNNNNNNNNNNNNNNNNNNNNNCACUUUUUAGCAGCCCAAAGGGCGGGAAGCAGAGGGCUUUGGUCCCGGUUGGUGCCACCAACCGGGACUAAAGGGUGGGCAAUGGUCCCGGUUGGAGCCAUGAACCGGGACCAAUGGUCGUGUGCUGGCACGGUGCGGCACAAAAGUUUAGUCCCACCUCGCUAGCUGAGAGGGGCGCGCAGUGGUUUAUAAGCCCCACUGCCGCACCCCUCUCGAGCUCCUCUCCACUGCAGGCUUACGGGCCUACUUACUACUGCGUUGCCUGAUGGGCCUACUGGGCCACCUACGGGCCUGAAUCCUGGCCCAUGGUUAGUUUCUAGUCGUAUUCAGGCCGUGGGAGCCCAGUAGGAGGCACUUUUUUUUCUUUACUUAUUGUUGCUAUUUUUAUUUUUUCCCCAGAUUUUUGGUUUUAUUUUCUGCAUUAUUUAUUUUCUUUUGUUUUUUUCUUUUGUUUUUUUGCUUUAUUUUUUAAUUCUUUUUGCUUUUAGCUUUAGAACAAUUUUAAACUUUCUGUUAGUGUCAUUAGUUCUCAAAUUUGAAAACACUUUUUUUGUUUUUUUUGUUUUUUUUCGUGCUUUAUUUAUUUUAUUUUGGUUCUACUUACAACAAAANNNNNNNNNNNNNNNNNNNNNNNNNNNNNNNNNNNNNNNNNNNNNNNNNNNNNNNNNNNNNNNNNNNNNNNNNNNNNNNNNNNNNNNNNNNNNNNNNNNNNNNNNNNNNNNNNNNNNNNNNNNNNNNNNNNNNNNNNNNNNNNNNNNNNNNNNNNNNNNNNNNNNNNNNAGAUUUUUUGUUUUGUUUUCUGCAUUAUUUACUUUCUUCUGUUUUUUUGCUUUAUUUUUUAAUUCUUUUUGUUUUUAGUUUUAGAAAAAAUUAUAAACUUUCUGUUAGUGCCAUUAGUUUUCAAAUUUGAAUACACCUUUUUUGUUUUCUUUUUGCUUUAUUUAUUUUAUUUUUUUCCAGUUUUUUUGUUUUGUUUUCUAUUAUUUAUUUUCUUUUGUUUUCUGCAUUAAAGCAUUUCAGAUGAACUCUAAAAAAGUUGAAAGCUGAAAGUUGGCAUGGUAUCACGAGGGCCGAACCAUAAGACAUUAAAGCAUUAUGUGCCGGGACUAAAGAGGGGCAUUGGUCCCGUUUGGAGCCACCAACCGGUACCAAUGGACCCGUCUAAUUACUUAUUUAUUUUCUGCAGUUGUUUUUUAGUUGAUUCUUUCUGCAGCUGUUUUUUUAGUCCCACCUCGCCAAGCGAGAGGCACUCGCAGCUGUUUAUAAGCCCUGAGUGCAGAGACGAUAAAGAAGAGGCUCAAUGCUCACCUGCACGUUGGUUCGCUUCAAGCCUUGAGGAAUAGGGUAGACUACACGGAGCUAUGUGCAGUGCAGUUUACACUAUUCCGAAAGGCUUGAAGCGAAUUAACUAGCAUUGCGCCUCUUUUUUAUUUUUAGUGACUUAUUACCACACAGAAAUAAAUAGAAAAAAUAAAUAUAGCAGAAAAGAAAAGAAAAACUAUAUAAAAAACUACUCAGAAAUAAAUAGAAGAAAAAAUAGUUGUGAUUAACUUUACUAAAAUAUUUUUUAUUUUUAAUGACUUAUUACAACUCAGAAAUAAAUAGAAAAAAAUAAAUAUAGCAGAAAAGAAAAAAACUAUAUAAAAACUACUCAGAAAUGAGAAUAGAUGCGCUUAUAGAGAAAAUUCAACCUAAAUUCAUAAUAAAUUUCUACUAACUUCAGAGAAAUUCAGUAUGAAUUUAGGUCAAAUUUCCUGUAUAAGGGCAUCUAUUUUCAUUUUGAGAGGAGCUCAACAAGGCAGAGAGGGAGGGGCUUAUAAACCGGUGUGAGCCCCCUUCGGUUGGCGAGGUGGGACUAAACUCUGGCCGCAACGAGGACCAACACUUUAGUCCCGGUUGGUGGUAUGAACCGGGACUAAAGGGAAACCUUUGGUCCCGGUUCAUGCCACCAACCGGGACAAAUGGUGGUGGGCCAGGAGCGAGGCACAUUGGUCCCGGUUCGUCCCACCAACAGGGACCAAAGGGUCCAGAUGAACCGGGACCAAUGUCCCACGUGGCCCGGCCGGCCCCCGGGGCUCACGAACCGGGACCAAUGCCCCCAUUGGUCCCUGUUCUGGAUUGAACCGGGACUAAUGGGCUGACCCGACCUGGACCAAUGCCCCCUUUUCUACUAGUGUAUGUGGAGAGUAAUAAAAAUUCUAUGCUUGUAGAUCAUGAAAAGAAUGCUUUAGGUGUUGGUUAUAUUGUUAAAUCCAUUCAUGAUGCUACUGAAAAUUAUUAUGAGGGAGGAAUAUAUGCUUGUAGGAAUAGCAAUAAUGCCAAGUUUCCUCUCUAUGUGCUUAAAGUUUUGAAGUUAUGCUGGUUUUACCCUCCUAUGCUAAUUGAUUAUUGUUCCCAUAAGUUGUUUUCUCACAAAAUCCCUAUGCAUAGGAAGUGGGUUAGACUUAAAUGUGCUAGUCAUAUUCUUCAUGAUUCUCUCUUUAUGUUUCAAUUCUUAUCUUUUAUGUGAGCAUCUUUGAAAUCAUGAUGCCUAGCUAGAAAGGCAUUAAAGAAAAGCGCUUGUUGGGAGACAGCCCAAUAUUUAUCUUUACUGUUUUUGUGUGUCCACAUGAUUAUGCUAUUGUAGUAAUCAUGUUUUAUAGCUUUUGUUUCAAUAAAGUGCCAAGUAGAACCUUUGGGAAGACUUGGGUGAAGUCUUUAUGACCAUGCUGUAAAAAACAUAAACUUUAGCGCUCGCGAGAUUAGCUGCCAUUUUUUACUGGAGAGUGUUUUUAGGUUGAUUCUUUUUGCAGAUGAUUAACAGACAAAUUCCUCAGGUUCACCAAUUUAUUUUAUAAUUUUUGGGGUUCCAGAAGUAUACGUUUGAUACAGAUUACUACAGACUGUUCUGUUUUUGACAGAUUCUGUUUUCAUUGUGUUGUUUGCUUAUUUUGAUGAAUCUAUGACUAGUAUGUAAGGGUAUGAACCAUAUAGAACUUAGAAUACAGUAGAUAUUACACCAAUAUGAAUUUAUAAUGAGUUCAUUACUGUACCUAAGUGGUGAUUUAUUUUCUUAUACUAACGGAGCUUACGAGUUUUGUAUUGAGUUUUAUGUGGUUGAAGUUUUCAAGUUUUGGGUAAGGAUUCGAUGGACUAUGGAAUAAGGAGUGGCAGGAGCCUAAGCUUGGGGAUGCCCAGGGCACCCCAAGUUAAUAUUCAAGGACAACGAAGCAACUAAGCUUGGGGAUGCCCCGGAAGGCUUUAGGUGUUAUAUUUUUAUUUGGAGCUAUAUUUUUAUUCACCACAUGCUAUGUGUUUUGCUUGGAGUGUCAUUUUCUUUUGUUAGUAUUUUCUUUCUGUUAUUUAGAUUAAUGUUUUGACUGUUUAGUUUCAAUAAAAAUGUCAAGGAUAGCCUUUACCAUGCUUAUUUUGCAAGUAUGCAUGCUGCUGUUUGAAAACAGAAAGUUUACCGCUGUUGCAAAAUUUCCCUAGAAAAGUCAGAGAGUGAUAUAAUGUUGAAUAUUUUUGCAUAAUGAGCUAUGAUAAAUCUUUUACAGCGUAGUAUUUUUCUUAUAAUUUUUGGAGUUAGGGAAGUAUGAUGAAUCUUGCAUUCUUUAUAGACUGUACUGUUUUGGCAGAUUGCUGUUAUGUUUGCAUUGUUUGCAUAUGUUUGCUUGUUUAAUGAUUCUAUUUGAGGAUAGGAGUAUUAAAUAUGCAGAGACAUUUAGUAUUCAAUGUUGAAUAAUAAUCUUAGUGAUUUGUUACAGUAGAGAUGAUAAGGUUUUGCAUUGGUUUAUACUAACCUAUCUCACGAGUUCUUGUUGAGUUUGCUGUGGAUGAAGCUUUUGAUAAAAAGAGAAACCAUGAUAUGAGAGGAAUUAAGGAGACACAAAAGCUCAAGCUUGGGGAUGCCCAAGGCACCCCAAGAUAAUAUGAGAGGAAUCCGCGGUUCUUUCACCCAAUGAUAUAAUAAUAUCAUCAUCAUCAUCAUCAUAUCAUUAACAACUUAUCAUCAUAAUACGUCAUUUAUAUAACACAUCCUCAAGAUCAUCGUUUUCAUCAAUGACAUCACAUAACAAAUUGGUCACUAGUCGUAAUCACAAGUACUCCUCAUCAUCAACUUUAACACAUUGUACCACAUAAUAAACAUAUUGUACCUCAUAGGACCUACUACAUUCUCUUAGGACCUACUACAUUUUCUAAGGUAAAAUAGCAAAAAACAAGAUAGCCCCUGACUCUCCAUUAUGGAGAAUGGAGAUUAUCCUGUCUCCAAUUCUUGACUUUCGCUGAAUGUUACUUCCAAGAACCUCCUUGCAAAUGUCCAAACAUUUUUUCCAUUCUUUGAUGAGCAUGUGUUCACCAGUUUUAGAAAUCCGAUAUGCACAGGUGAGCUCCCUAGAUUUACCUGACAGUAUGUUCAAAACUGUAAGGUGACCAUUCUGAUACAUCAGAUGAGGCACACAAUCCAUCGGGAGUUUCUGUUGAAAAACAUAGUAAUAACUUCGUAGUUAGCAAUGAUGUACUAGUUUUAGAAGUAUGCAAAAGAUGCACGGAGGUCGUAAUAGUAAAAAAUCAUACCAGGGUAUCUCCAUAGAAGUUAUCGUGGUUCAACACGUGCACUAGUGGCACGUAUUCACCAUAAUUUGGAGGAGUUAGAUAAUAGGUAUUGUAAUCCUCAAGAAGAGUACAAAAUGCGAUCAGAUGAUUUUUCUCCUUAUAAGUUAAUUCGGAGCCAUCGGUGUAGUGGGUUUUGUCUACCAUCUUCCGCACAGUCUUUGAAGAAUCAAAAUAAGCUGUCAAUGGAAAUAAGUUAUCAACUAUUUUGAAAUAAACAAUAUAAAUUAGUUAAUAACUAUGUUUGAGAAACUCACAUAGCGGUAGAAUCGGAAGCGUAUCAACAAGGAUCCAAAUGUCCAUAUUGUCUUGCACGAGUCAGGAUCACCAAGAACCAUGGUGACAAUCAUAUCCUCAUAAAAACCAUACAUUUUGCAAAGUGCUUCCCAAUUUUGGCAACCAAAAUGGGUUACGCUCUGAGCAUUGCACAGAUUUACUUCAAAAUCCAUAUCAUGAUGGGUCCUUAGGUGUAUUUUCUUUGUUUCAAAAUUUUCAUGGUCUUCAAAACCCAUCCUCUCUAAGACAUAGCGUCUUGCAUGGCAUGGGAUAAGCUAGUCGAAUUGUAAAAGAUGAAAAUUAGACGUUGAAAUAGUUGAAGUCAUGCUUAAUUACGAAAAAACACUUGUCGUUGUUGCGUACCGUUUCAACAUCGAAGGUCUCCUCGAGCGUAAUGCUGAAGCGUCGAUCUUUGUCCAGCUCAACGAACCUGUCGCACAUACCUUGAUCGUCGUGGCACCAGCUGCACUCCCCCGGGAGACUGUCGUCGUCCGAGUACGACAUUUCCUACGUUCAUAAUUCAAAGAUUAAACUUGUAUAAUUAAAUAUAUGUACUAAAAAACCUAAAUUAGAUCAUUAUUUUUUGAGAAAAUCCAGGCCACUCGAUAUUUCCUACAUAUUCUAGCACAAGUCAUGCCAGAAUUCACGGAAAAAUCCGGCAUGACCUUUGCUAAAAAAGGACAUAUCGAGCGCUUGAAAUUUGCCGGAACGGAAAUUAAUCAACACUCCGGCAAAACAUAGGCCACUCGGAGGUGUAACCUGAACAUGACCGGCCACUUGGGCAACCACAUAUCCUAUAUGAGCCACACAAAAUAACAACAAAUAUGACAUGUUCAACUAGUUCUUACUAAAUAUAAACUUACUAUAAAUAGAAAAAAAAACUAGUUCUUUCUAAAAAUAAAGUAGUUCAACUAGUUAUAUUAAUUUACUUACUAAACUAGUUCAACUAAAACUAAACUAGUUCAACUAGUUUACUAAUUUACUUACUAAAAAUACAUUAGUUCUAUUAAUUCAACUAGUUUAUUAAUUUACUUACUAAACUAGUUCAACUAAAACUAAACUAGUUCAACUNNNNNNNNNNNNNNNNNNNNNNNNNNNNNNNNNNNNNNNNNNNNNNNNNNNNNNNNNNNNNNNNNNNNNNNNNNNNNNNNNNNNNNNNNNNNNNNNNNNNNNNNNNNNNNNNNNNNNNNNNNNNNNNNNNNNNNNNNNNNNNNNNNNNNNNNNNNNNNNNNNNNNNNNNNNNNNNNNNNNNNNNNNNNNNNNNNNNNNNNNNNNNNNNNNNNNNNNNNNNNNNNNNNNNNNNNNNNNNNNNNNNNNNNNNNNNNNNNNNNNNNNNNNNNNNNNNNNNNNNNNNNNNNNNNNNNNNNNNNNNNNNNNNNNNNNNNNNNNNNNNNNNNNNNNNNNNNNNNNNNNNNNNNNNNNNNNNNNNNNNNNGGUCGAGGGCGGCGACGGUGAGGUCGAGAGCGGCGGCGGGCGGCGGCGCUGAGGUUGAGGGCGGGCGGCGGCGGUGAGGGCAGGCUCGGGCGGCAGCGACAGAGGAGUUGGGGAAACAGGGCCGGGAGGAGUGGGGGGAAAGGAGAGGACUUAGCAAAAUUUUGAGCCCGCGUGUGGUUAAGUCGAACUAGCAGUAGCGCUGUUUCGUAAAAGCGCUAUAGCUAAGUUAGCUAUAACGCGUUUUAUAAAAACACGCUGCUGCUAUAGGAAGCAGUAAUUUCUUUUGUUUAUCCUUACAUUUUCUUUUUUUUCAUUUCUCUGUUUCCUACUUCUAUCAUUUUCAUUUAUUUUUCUAUUUUUUUAUUUUUCUUUUCUUUCUUAGCAGUAGCGCUGUACGCAGGAAACGUGCUGCAACAAUGAGUAUAGUGGUAGCGCGCUUUCCUCAGAAUCGCUACUACUACUCCUAGCCUACCGACAACAUGGUGGAAAUUAUAGUGGUAGCGCACGCGCUACUGCUAUAGUUUAAGCUACAGCGCGUUUCUCACGAACGCACUACUACAAAUUAGCAAUAGCGCCCUAUUUUAACCGGCGCUACUGCUAUACCUCUGUGUAUAGGCUUUUCCCUAGUAGUGAUAGUUCGCAGGUUCACCUUGGUCAAGUAACAUGACCUCCAGAAUAGGAUUACUAUACCACUCUGGUGCGGAUCUUACUCUGGUUGACCUACGAGAUUCGGUAGUAACUUGAUAUGAAGUUAUAUGAUCAUCAUCAUUAGCUUCCUCACUAAUUGGUGUAGGAGUCAUAGAAAUAGAUUUUGGUGAUGAACUACUUUAAAAUAAGGGAGCAGGUACAGUUACCUCAUCAAGUUCUACUUUCCUCCCACUCACUUCUUUCGAGAGAAACUCCUUCUCUAGAAAGGAUCCAUUCUUAGCAACGAAUGUCUUGCCUUCAGAUCUGUGAUAGAAGGUGUACCCAACAGUUUCCUUUGGGUAUCCUAUGAAGACACAUUUCUCCGAUUUGGGUUCUAGCUUAUCAGGUUGAAGUUUUUUCACAUAAGCAUCGCAGCCCCAAACUUUAAGAAACAACAACUUUGGUUUCUUGCCAAACCACAGUUCACAAGGCAUCGUCUCAACGGAUUUCGAUGGUGUCCUAUUUAACGUGAAUGCAACCGUCUCUAAAGCAUAACCCCAAAACGAUAGCAGUAAAUCAAUAAGAGACAUCAUAGAUCGCACCAUAUCUAGUAAAGUACGAUUACGACGUUCGGACACACCAUUACGCUGUGGCGUUCCGGGUGGCGUGAGUUGUGAAACUAUUCUGCAUUGUUUCAAAUGUAGACCAAAUUCGUAACUCAAAUAUUCUCCUCCACGAUCAGAUCGUAGAAACUUUAUUUUCUUGUUACGAUGAUUUUCCACUUCACUCUGAAAUUCUUUGAACUUUUCAAAUGUUUCAGACUUAUGUUUCAUUAAGUAGAUAUGCCCAUAUCUGCUCUAAUCAUCUGUGAAGGUGAGAUGAUAACGAUACCCGCCGCGAGCCUCAAUAUUCAUCAGACCACAUACAUCAGUAUGUAUGAUCUCCAACAAAUCUGUUGCUCGCUCCAUUGUCCCGGAGAACGGUGUUUUAGUCAUCUUGCCCAUAAGGCAUGGUUCGCAAGUACCAAGUGAUUCAUAAUUAAGUGAUUCCAAAAGUCCAUCAGUAUGGAGUUUCUUCAUGCGCUUUACACCAAUAUGACCCAAACGGCAGUGCCACAAAUAAGUUGCACUAUCAUUAUCAACUCUGCAUCUUUUGGCUUCAACAUUAUGAAUAUGUGUAUCACUACUAUCGAGAUUCAAUAAAAAUAGACCACUCUUCAAGGGUGCAUGACCAUAAAAUAUGUUACUCAUAUAAAUUGAACAAUCAUUAUUCUCAGAUUUAAAUGAAUAACCAUCUCACAUCAAACAAGAUCCAGAUAUAAUGUUCAUGCUCAACGUUGGCACCAAAUAACAAUUAUUUAGGUCUAAAACUAAUCCCGAAGGUAGAUGUAGAGGUAGCGUGCCGACGGCGAUCACAUCGACUUUGUAACCAUUUCCCACGCGCAUCGUCACCUCGUCCUUAGCCAGUCUUCACUUAAUCCGUAGUCCCUGUUUCGAGUUGCAAAUAUUAGCAACAGAACCAGUAUCAAAUACCCAGGUGCUACUGUGAGCUCAUGUAAGGUACAUAUCAAUAACAUAUAUAUCACAUAUACAUUUGUUCACCUUGCCAUCCUUCUUAUCCACCAAAUACUUGGGGCAGUUCCGCUUCUAGUGACUAGUCUGCUUGCAGUAGAAGCACUCAGUCUCAGGCUUAGGUCCAGACUUGGGUUUCUUCUCUUCAGCAGCAACUUGUUUGCCGUUCUUCUUGAAGUUCCCCUUCUUCUUCCCUUUACCUUUUUUCUUGAAACUGAUGGUCUUGUUGACCAUUAACACUUGAUGCUCCUUCUUGAUUUCUACCUCUGCAGCCUUUAGCAUUGCGAAGAGCUCGGGAAUUGUCUUAUCCAUCCCUUGCAUAUUAUAGUUCAUCACAAAGCUCUUAUAGCUUGGUGGCAGUGAUUGAAGAAUUCUAUCAAUGACACUGUCAUCUAGAAGAUUAACUCCCAGUUGAAUCAAGUGAUUGUUAUACCCAGACAUUUUGAGUAUAUGUUCACUGACAGAACUAUUCUCCUCCAUCUUGCAGCUGUAGAACUUAUUGGAGACUUCAUAUCUCUCAAUCCGGGCAUUUGCUUGAAAUAUUAACUUCAAUUCCUGGAACAUCUCGUAUGCUCCAUGACGUUCAAAACGUCAUUGUAAGUCCCGGUUCUAAGCCGUAAAGCAUGGCACACUAAACUAUCGAGUAGUCAUUAGCUUUGCUCUGCCAGACGUUCUUAACAUUGUCAGUUGCAUCUGCAGCAGGACUGGCACCCAGCGGUGCUUUCAGGACAUAAUUCUUUUGUGCAGCAAUGAGGAUAAUCCUCAAGUUAUGGACCCAGUCCGUGUAAUUGCUACCAUCAUCUUUCAACUUUGCUUUCUCAAGGAACGCAUUAAAAUUCAAUGGAACAACAGCACGGGUCAUCUAUCUACAACAACAUAGACAAGCAAAAUACUAUCAGGUACUAAGUUCAUGAUAAAUUUAAGUUCAAUUAAUCAUAUUACUUAAGAACUCCCACAUAGAUAGACAUCCCUCUAAUCAUCUAAGUGAUCACGUGAUCCAAAUCAACUAAACCAUGUCCGAUCAUCACGUGAGAUGGAGUAGCUUUCAAUGGUGAACAUCACUAUGUUGAUCAUAUCUACUAUAUGAUUCACGCUCGACCUUUCGGUCUCAGUGUUCCAAGGCCAUAUCUGCAUAUGCUAGGCUCGUCAAGUUUAACCCGAGUAUUCUGCGUGUGCAAAACUGGCUUGCACCAUUGUAGAUGAACGUAGAGCUUAUCACACCCGAUCAUCACGUGGUGUCUCGGCACGACGAACUUUGGCAAUGGUGCAUACUCGGGGAGAACACUUUUAUCUUGAAAUUUAGUGAGAGAUCAUCUUAUAAUGCUACCAUCAAUCAAAGCAAAAUAAGAUGCAUAAAGGAUAAACAUUACAUGCAAUCAAUAUAAGUGAUAUGAUAUGGCCAUCAUCAUCUUGUGCUUGUGAUCUCCAUCUCCAAAGCACCGUCAUGAUCACCAUCGUCACCGGCGCGACACCUUGAUCUCCAUCGUAGCAUCAUUGUCGUUUCGCUAACUACUGCUUCUACGACUAUCGCUACCACUUAGUGAUAAAGUAAAGCAAUUACAGGGCGAUUGCAUUGCAUACAAUAAAGCGACAACCAUAUGGCUCCUGCCAGUUGCCGAUGACUCGGUUACAAGACAUGAUCAUCUCAUACAAUAAAAUAUAGCAUCAUGCUUUGACCAUAUCACAUCACAACAUGCCUUGCAAAAACAAGUUAGACAUCCUCUACUUUGUUUUUGCAAGAUUUACGUGGCUGCUACGGGCUGAGAAACAACCGUUCUUACCUACGCAUCAAAACCACAAUGAUAGUUCGCCAAGUUAGUGUGGUUUUAACCUUCUCAAGGACCGGGCGUGGUCACACUCGGUUCAACUGAAGUUGGAGAAACUGACACCCGUCAGCCACCUGUGUGCAAAGCAUGUCGGUAGAACCAGUCUCGCGUAAGCAUACUCGUAAUGUCGGUCCGGGCCGCUUCAUCCAACAAUACCGCCGAACCAAAGUAUGACAUGCUGGUAAGCAGUAUGACUUGUAUCGCCCACAACUCACUUGUGUUCUACUCGUGCAUAUAACAUCUAUGCAUAAACCUGGCUCGGAUGCCACUGUUGGGGAACGUAGUAAUUUCAAAACAAAAUCCUACGCACACGCAAGAUCAUGGUGAUGCAUAGCAACGAGAGGGGAGAGUGUUGUCCACAUACCCUCGUAGACCGAAAGCGGAAGCAUUAGAACAACGCAGUUGAUGUAGUCGUACGUCUUCACGAUCCGACCGAUCCAAGUACCGAACGUACGGCACCUCCGAGUUCAACACACGUUCAGCUCGAUGACGUCCCACGAACUCCAAUCCAGCAGAGCUUCACGGGAGAGUUCCGAAGCACGACGGCGUGAUGACGGUGAUGAUGUUGCUACCAACGCAGGGCUUCGCCUAAGCACCGCUACGAUAUGACCGAGGUGGAAUAUGGUGGAGGGGGGCACCGCACACGGCUGGGAGAGAUCAACAGAUCAAUUUGUGUCUAGAGGUGCCCCCCUGGCCCCGUAUAUAAAGGAGCAAGGGUGGAUAGGCGGCCAGCCAAGGAGGGCGCGCCAAGGGGGAGUCCUACUCCCACCGAGAGUAGGACUCCUCCUUUCCUUGUUGGAGUAGGAUAAGGGAAGGAAGGGAGAGAGGAGGAGAAGGAAAAAGGGGGGGCGCCCCCCCUCCUUGUCCAAUUCGGACUCGAGGGGGAGGGGGCGCGCGGCUGCCCUGGCCGCCCCUCCUCUUCUCCCACUAAGGCCCAUUAGGCCCAAUAUACUCCCCGGGGGGUUCCGGUAACCCCCCGGUACUCCGGUAAAUGUCUGAAACACUUCCGGUGUCCGAACAUAGUCAUCCAAUAUAUCAAUCUUUACGUCUCGACCAUUUCGAGACUCUUCGUCAUGUCUAUGAUCAUAUCCUGGACUCUGAACUACCUUCGGUACAUCAAAACACAAAAACUCAUAAUACCGAUCGUCACCAAACUUUAAGCAUGCGGACCCUAUGGGUUCGAGAACUAUGUAGACAUGACCGAGACACGUCUUCGGUCAAUAACCAAUAGCGGAACCUGGAUGCUCAUAUUGGCUCCCACAUAUUCUACGAAGAUCUUUAUCGGUCAAACCGCAUAACAACAUACGUUGUUCCCUUUGUCAUCGGUAUGUUACUUGCCCGAGAUUCGAUCGUCGGUAUCUCAAUACCUAGUUCAAUCUCGUUACCGGCAAGUCUCUUUACUCGUUAUGUAAUGCAUCAUCCCGCAACUAACUCAUUAGUCACAUUGCUUGCAAGGCUUAUAGUAAUGUGCAUUACCGAGAGGGCCCAGAGAUACCUCUCCGACAAUCGAAGUGACAAAUCCUAAUCUCGAAAUACGCUAACUCAACAUGUACCUUUGAAGACACCUAUAGAGCACCUUUAUAAUCACCCAGUUACGUUGUGACGUUUGGUAGCACACAAAGUGUUCCUCCGGGAAACGGGAGUUGCAUAAUCUCAUAGUCAUAGGAACAUGUAUAAGACAUGAACAAAACAAUAGCAACAUACUAAACGAUCAAGUGCUAAGCUAACGGAAUGGGUCAAGUCAAUCACAUCAUUCUCCUAAUGAUGUGAUCCCGUUAAUCAAAUGACAACUCAUGUCCAUGGCUAGGAAACUCAACCAUCUUCGAUUAACGAGCUAGUCAAGUAGAGGCAUACUAGUGACACUAUGUUUGUCUAUGUAUUCACACAUGUAUUAUGUUUUCGUUUAAUACAAUUCUAGCAUGAAUAAUAAACAUUUAUCAUGAUAUGAGGAAACAAAUAAUAACUUUAUUAUUGCCUCAAGGGCAUAUUUCCUUCAGGAAAAGCCCACCGGGCCUCAAGCCUUGGGCCAGGCCUCUUCGCAAAAUCACAAAUAUGGCAGGCCUAGGCCCAGCCCGGCCCGACCUUUGGGCUCAAAACCUAGGCCUAGGCCUGCCCCAUAGGUAAGACCAGGCCGGGUCAGGUCGGGCCGGGCUUUUUCGGGCCGGGUCGGGUUAGGCCGGUCGGGCCGGGUAUCCCAUGGCCACAUAUAUCCAUGGCUUUCGUGUUUCCUAUUUGGCGUGGAGGGCGCGCCCAUGCGAAAUAGCGCGUACCCCUCCAACCUUGAUCCUCCUGCGGGCCAGACCAUUAACGGAUUUCUUCCCCUCCGAUUUUGGGAAUGUUAUAGAACCUUCCCUGAACCAGUUUUGUCCUUUCGAUUCUUUCUAUCUUUUCUUUUUUCCUUUUCUUCUUAUUUCUUCUUCCUUGUUGUCAUUUUACAUUCUUUUUUUAUUUUUUAUUCAUUUUAAAUUUCGAAAAAUCUUUAUUUCAUGAACAUUUCUUGAAAUCAUGAACAAUUUUUGAAAUCAUGAACAUUAUUCAAAUACAUGAACAUUUUUUAAAAUCAUGAACAUUUUUAAAGUUCUGGUACAUGUUUUACAAAUUUGUGAACACUUUUUAAAUUGAUGACAUUUUAAAAAUUCCACACUUUUUUAACUUUGACUUAUUUGCGAUUUUUCUUUUCAAGUUCAUGAACAUUUGUUCCUCGAAUUCAAAAAAUGUUGAUCAAUGUAAAAAAUGGUCAAUAAUUCAAAAAAAAUCAUCGAAUUCAAAAAAUAAUUAUCAGAUUAAAAAAAUGUUCAUCAAAUUCAAAAUUUAUUUAUCGAAUUUAAAAGAUGUUCAUCAAAUUCCAAAUUUGUUCAUUGAUUUAAAAAACAUAUCCAUCAAAUUCAAAAUUGUUCGUCUAUUUUACCAAAAAAAUGUCCUUGAAUACAAAUUCUGCUCAUCAAGUUCAAAAAAAAUUUAUCGACUUUAAAAUUUGUUCAUCAAGUACAAAAAAUUAUUCGUCAUAAUUAAAAAAACUACAGGGUAACCCUCGCAUUUGCAUAUAUCAUUAGAUAAUCCUGUGGAGUUAAUAGUGAAAAUACAUGAUUUGAUAUAUUUGUCGGCCUCAAACAAUUAUUGUACCCGGCACCAAUUGCUUCUUGUUUAAUCUGCCGAUAUGUUAUUAUAAAUACCUUCCAAGAAAUAGAUAAUUUACCAAAUAUAUCUAGAAGAAGAAUGAUUCAACUUUGGGGGAAAUCAUAGGCAUUUUGUAGGGAGCUUUAUCAUGUGCAAAUAGUGGACCAAAGGCGUUGUAGUUUUUAAUUUGCAAGCAAAACCGUAUCUCAUAACAAUUGCUAGUGAUGACUUAGAUGCAAAUCUUAUGCUAUUUUCCUCCACUGGUCUUCUUCCUUGAUUUUGUAUCAGCUGCUUUUGUACACGCUCAUCUAUUUCUUGGAAGAUGAACCUCUCAUCUAUUUAAUGAUAGAUACAAUGUAUUGGCCAAAGCGUGUGAUGCACUGAAGCAGAAAAUUUUCUCACAUAAAUAUAGGUUGAUUAGUAGAUAAGGCAUAAUCACACGGCGAAAAGCCCACCAAAACACCGCAUUAUUAUAAAGAAAAAGAAAGAAACUCCAUCAUCUCUCCCACUCGCCAAACCAAAUAUUCCCUAGGUUUCAAAAUAUAAGAUGCGUUAGUUUUUUUAGUAGUUAAAUUUCUUUACUUUGACCAACUUCAGAGCCAAAAAUAAAUAAAAAUAUAAAAAAAUCAAUGUACAAUGAAUCUAAUGAUACCGAUUUAAUAUUGUGGGUAUUGAUAUACUUCUCUACGAAUUUGGUUAAACAUAAAGAGCUUUGACUUUUCCAAAAAGGAUACACCUUAUACUUUGAAACAGAUGAAGUUAAAAACAUUAUGAAAACUCAACAACACCAACGGCGUAACAAAGCGCGUCCAACCCUUAACAUAUCAAAGAUGUGAAAUUAGCAUGAUACGGUGGGAUGACAAACGUACACAUAUUUCAAAGAUGUGGAACUAAAACAUCCAAAGAAGCCUUUGAAUCGCAAUCCAAAUACAACAUUCAAACAUGCCUUUGAAUCGCAAUUCAAAGCUCAGUACCGCCAUCUAAAUGUGCUCAGCUCCGCAGAUUCUCUCAUAUAAUAUGUGAUGAUGGUUGGCACCCCACAGAAUCCUAAAGAGCAUUUCAGUACAAAUGUCUAAAUGUAAACAGCGAAUUCAAGAUUUCAGUAAAAUGUCACAAGUACAAAUUCAUACUUCAGUAGUCAUUGACCUGAAGACUUUUUUUAAAAGGCUUCCUUGCAAGCUAUCUAAUCCACGCAUUGAAAAAAAUUCAGGCAAGAUACCCAUUUUUUACUGCCAAUGCCCUACCAAAAUUCACUUACCUAAUUUUCUUUUCCAGGAAAGAUAUAUCCAUUUUCCACAACCAGUUUAUGAAACGGCCACUGCCGUACCAAGUGCUGAACAUAUUGUCCUUUGUAUUAUAACAGAAUAGAAGGGAACUUAGGUAGUGUAUGAAGCUUGGUAGACGCGGCUGCCUUCGGAUAGCAUGGUACUACUAUUAUCAUCUUGGUCCUCUGCCAAAUUGAANNNNNNNNNNNNNNNNNNNNNNNNNNNNNNNNNNNNNNNNNNNNNNNNNNNNNNNNNNNNNNNNNNNNNNNNNNNNNNNNNNNNNNNNNNNNNNNNNNNNNNNNNNNNNNNNNNNNNNNNNNNNNNNNNNNNNNNNNNNNNNNNNNNNNNNNNNNNNNNNNNNNNNNNNNNNNNNNNNNNNNNNNNNNNNNNNNNNNNNNNNNNNNNNNNNNNNNNNNNNNNNNNNNNNNNNNNNNNNNNNNNNNNNNNNNNNNNNNNNNNNNNNNNNNNNNNNNNNNNNNNNNNNNNNNNNNNNNNNNNNNNNAUCUUGUUCAGAAAAUGUCACAGUUUGCUCAGCUGAUAGCAAAAAAACAGUUCAAGGCAGAAGUCUCAAAUAUAGCAAUGCAAGGCUUAAAUUCAAUAAGAUGCUUUGCUUGACAGAGCAAGGAUUAUAAGCUCAGGAAAAAUCAGCUUUAUCGACAAAAUCUGAUCAACUUGCAUAAGUGGGGACUGCUUAAAUUCAAUAAGAUGCUUUGCUUGACAGAGCAAGGAUUAUAAGCUCAGGAAAAAUCAGCUUUAUCGACAAAAUCUGAUCAACUUGCAUAAGUGGGAACUGCAAGCUAUCGACGAAGCGCACAUCAUACCAUGAGAAUGUUCUACAAUAACUCGUAGUUGAAGCUCUGACCUUCACUGUAUUGUCUGUUAAACUAUCAAUACACUCUGCUAACACCACUAUCUGACAACGAAAAAUGUCGCGGACCAGCAACCCUCCCAUCACCAUGCAGCAUAGCUCGAACGAAGGCUAUGUGAGAUUUCAUUUGACAAUAUGAUUUCGCACAUUGCUCUAAGGUUCACCGAAUAACUUCUAAGUUGAUACUUGGUUAUAGGUAAAACAAAAUCAAGUGUUGCGGCCCUCCAAUACAGUUUUCAGAUGAAAAAUCAAUUCAGCCAAGGCAUUAGCUAACACACGUGCAAAUGCAAAGAGAUAUCAUUAGCCCUGAAGGAACAAUACUAAUAGAAGGUUGUAUAUAUUAUGCAGGGAGCACAAAAGAUAAUACACAACAGAUACCAGAAGGAAAAGUACUUACAGAGCCUGUCUGAAUAUUAUGUGCAGAUGCCACCUAAGAUACUUGAAGAAAAAUAGUGACAACAGAAACAAUAUUAUGUGCAGAUGGCACCUAAGCAUAAUCAGAUAUUUAGAUUACAUAAUAAAAUCAUUCACAACAAUAAGUUAACACAUUUAAGAAUAUCACUGUCUAACUAAGAUUACAAAAUGGGACACUAAACUCUGUACGGGAUUGAGUAUAUUAAUAGCAUAAUGCAUGUUUAUCAGCUACACGGUUCUACUAAAGUAGUGACCAAUUACAAACAUUUAUGUCAGAAACAGUACCAAGUGGUAAAGCAUUCUUUCACUCUUCAUAUCGACACCACAAUGCCACCUAACAUAUUGUAGAUGCCACAUUCCAAAUCAAAGCAUAAAGCACACCGACCAAACCCAAUGAGGUAAACAAACAAAAUGGAAGUAUAAAUUAUGAGCAGAAUAUUUCAAUUCAUUUUUACCUGGUAACAAUUUGGGCCAUGCCAACCAAACCAACCCCUGGUAUUCCCUCUUAUCAUAUCUGCCGCAUCUAAUAGGGUGGCCAGUUAUUCUCACCACUAUGGCCUGAUCCUUGAUGCCAACCAAUGAAGACAACAAGUAUAAACUAUGCAUAAUAUAUUCACUUGUUAAACUGAUUUUUUGGCAGGGCAACAGAUGAAUCGCUAGCUGACAACUGCUCUAAUUCAUUUGACAGCUUCCUUUUGUGCUAGAGGACACAGAUGCAAGGCAGGACAAGCUAUGGAAGUAAUACCCAAGAUACCAACAUCUCUUACUUUCUAUAUAAAUGAAUACUCAGCUUCAGACAAAUAUUGCAAAAGUAUACCAACAUGUUAAGAGAUCAAACUUUUAGUCAGGAGAAAAAGAACUCACUGGCUACUUUUGAAAUUUAGUACAUUGUUCUUUAAUCAGGCAAAUCUGAAUCUAGUGCACAAUUGCCUUCCGCAAGCGGCAGCAUAGUAUUCAGCAGGGCGAGGCAGCUUCCUUGUAAGGCUACCAACAAAUACCUUCUCCCUCACCACUAUUCUGCUAUAGUAGCUCAGCCUUACAAGGGAGCUUCCUUGUAAGGCUAUCAACAAAUACCUUCUCCCUCACCUAGUGAUCCAUUUGCCUUAAGAAACUUUAUACCAUAGAUAGAAUCAGCGUCUGAGCGGGCUCUCCAGGCUGUAAUGGUGCAUUACCCGCCGAAGAGCAGAUGGCGGCAUAAUAUAAAUAUAUUUUCUAAGCAUAAUCAGAAUACUAAACAAUGAACUGCAACUUCAGUACUAACUGGCAUAUAACACAACAAAAAAGACGAUGAAAUGAAAACUGAACAUGCUAGAUAAAUUUAACAUGAAAAUAGAUCAAUCACAUCAAGCUUUCUUCUCUACAAAAUGACAAAAUCAACAUACUGGGGGUGCAGAAAUCAAGUUAUCAGUUACGUCAAGCAUUGGCCACGACAAAACCAAACUUCAAUCAUGAGAAGAACACCUAAUCAUGAAUUACCAGCUUAAUACGACGAGUGUAAAUUCUGUUGUUUCGCACACAGUUACCAAUUUUCAUAGCCUGUUCUUGGUUCAUGCAAAUAUGAAUCUCGCAGGCACUUCCCCUCUGCAAGCGCUUGCAUAGUCUUCAGCAAGGUAUGGUGCAGCGUCCUUGUGAGGGCAUAUGAACUUGUCCAAGAACUCUUUCUCAGUCCAUUUAACAAUUGUAUAGUAGCUUUGGUUGCGCUUGAGCAAUCCAUUUUCCCUAAGAAACCUCAUAACAUAGUACCGGGGCCUGAGCCGGCCCUCCAGGCUAAGACCGAGCAUAACCGGCAAGUGAGCAAUGCGUGCUGGUUCCAACCCCACCUCAGAGAUAAGGAACUCUGACAUGCGCUGCAGCGUGUCCUUUGACCUCCUCAGCACAACCGGCCUCUUGAACACAGCAAUGCGGACCUCCGUAUCUGACCACCUAAAUGUCUUCUUCAAGUAGUCCACUUUGGCAGCGAGCUUGUCCUCGCUCAAGUAUGAGACAGCAUGCAGCGCUUGCCUGAACAUUCCAGAGCCAUGGGGCACACCUAUACCUUCGGCGCACGCAACCAUCGCCAGGACGCGCCCUGGUUUGGCGCUAAACAUCCUCGGCGCACCGAUGAUGAGCUUGGCAAUAUCACAAGCACCUAGCCCGCACUCUGCUAGGAGAUUGACAUUGGGCUUGACCACCCUCUCGAGGUCAGAGCCGAGCAAGCUGUAGGCGUAUUUCAGCGCCCGGAACAAGUCGCCGGUGGAACCGAAGAGCGGCAGGUAGUACUCUAGCUUGGAGACGACCGAUCUGUUGCGGAAGUAGCCGGGGGCGAGCGAGACGAGUCGCGCGAUCUCAGCAUUUGACAGGCCGAUGCUGGUGAGCCCCGCGACAUUGGGGGACAGGGUCGUCUCCACUUUGGCGCAGAGGAACUGCGGGUCCCUGGCGACGAGGGCCGCCACAUCGGCGGCGGAGAGGCCGAGGCCGGCGAGGAAGGCGAGGACGGCGUCGGGCUUGGCGGGGGACUUGAGGUGGGAGAGCUUGGCGUAGGCCUUGAGUGCCUGGGCACGGCUGAGGCAGCAGGUGGAGACGAGGUAGUCCUCGACGGCGAACCUAGGGUUCGGUGAAAUGCGGGGGGCAGCGGCGGCGGCGAGGAGGCGGCGGAGAGAGGAUCCUUGAGAGGGAGAGGCGGUGGGAGAAGAGAGGAGACGGGUGAGGAGGAUGCAGCUGCGGAAGCGGAGCAUUUCGCCGGCGGCGGCGGCGGCGGCGGCGGCGGCGAGGGAAUGAACGAAGACUCGCGUGGCUUCUCUGUUUUUUUGUUGUUGAGGGGUCCGUGGCUUCUCUGGUGCAGCACGUCAGUCGUAUAAUGGGCUGGGCUGGGCUGGGCUUAGACCAGAGUGACUAUUUUUUCCCUUCCUUUUCUCUUUGCAACAAAUUUCAGAUUUGUCAAACCUCAAUAAAUAAAUAAAUAAAUCAAAUUGUGCGUAGCAUAUUAGCAUUCGCAUCAUAUUGGAUUCCAAGUGCUUUGGCAAAACAAAAAUUAUUGGAUUCCAAGUGAGCAUAUAGCAUGAUUAAUCGACAGUCAUAAUGCUUGAAUUCCAAGUCCUAUCAAAAUACGAAAAGUAGAUAUAUUGAGAGAGAGAGAGAGAGAGAGAGAGAGAGAGAAAAUAAUUAGAAAUAAAAAUUGGGGUCAUGUGUAGCUCCACCAUGGGUAGCAAAUUAUUUCCGCUCAUGUAAAAUUAUACCAUUUUUAUUAACCUGAUCAGUAUAUACUAACAACCAAAGUUAGGAAACAUCUUGCACAUGUUGACCUGACACAUUUGAUAGUCCGCUUCAUAUUUAAUGUAAUCGGAUAAAAACAAAAGGUAACUGGUUUAAUUGUUUUAUUAUUGUCUUAGUUAUAGGUUAAAUUACCUAUUUGAACCCAAGUGCAAAUUUAUAUUUCUAUCCUAAUAAAAAAAAGGUGUAGCUAUUUCAUGAUGCGGAGUUCUUACAAAUUUUAGUUUCCUUAUUUUCUUUUAUUUACUAUUUUGAGUUUCAUGUAAAAGUGCUGAAUUCAUUAUUCACGUAAUAUGAAUCUGAUUUAAUUUAUACCAAAAAUAAUUAUUGAAUUUUCAACUUUGAAAAUAAUUUAAUAAUUGUACCAAUUAACCUUAAAUUUAGUUUCAAAUUAUCUAUUAUAUAAGAUAGAAAUAAUAUAGCUAAAUGUUUAUACAAGCUAAUUUUUCGGUUAUAGAAAGGAAAAAGUAAUGAAUCUUUACAUCCACACUAUUGAUUUAUCAAAUGCUUGUGCAAGAAAGUUGUCAUUGACAAGGUCAAGGCGGCUCCCUGGCGACUGCGGCACAUUGGCGGCUCGUUCUGGCAACUGUAGUGGUUGUUGGGUGGUUUUGGAAUCUUCGUAUAAUUUUUAUUAUGUUUGAAAUGCUUUGUUCUUCCGGUGCACUUUGAAAAUAGAUCUGGAUGAUUUCGCAAAAAAAAGGAAAGCUAACACACCGAUAUAUUAGGGGAAAUGUUAAUGAGGUAAAACACAAGUUUAUGUGAAGGGGCGUCCAAGGAAGAUAUUUGUGACCAAAGUAACAAUGUGGACCAGACAACACAAGAGGCUCAAUUGUAUAAUUAGUCAGUAACCAAUACUACAUUUGCAAGCAUAUGUAGUAAAAUUAUUCCUUUAUUUAGUAAAAAAAAGAAGCAUUAUUCUAGGCACAACAACACUGAUUGUGCUUGCAAUACGGCCCAGUUGAGGGCUUAAAGCUGAGGCUGCAUGCGAUCUGGCAACGUUCUUUGCACUUUUCCACAUAGAAGCAGUACAAUGGAGGAUUGGCUCCAUCUUCAACUGCAAGUUCAAUCCAUGAUCCAUGUAAGCCCCAACAUGCACAGAAAAAUAAAUAUGAAUUGAAUACAAAUGAAAGUAACCGAUCAAUACUCGAGAGGACAAAAAAUUUGGCAACGCGUGGAUAAAACUAGCAGAGAUGUUAUUACUUGUGCGGGCGUAGCAAGACGAUGAUGAUAGGGUGGAAGCCAUAACCAUAAGAAGCACAAAAACCACAGCCUUCCUGGUCGCAUUGCUCAUGGGUGCCAUGACCAAGAGAUCGACAAGGAAUCACUUCUUUGUUUGUUGUGUGCUUAAGGAUGCCGUAAGCUUUCGCCCUUGUAUAGUCAUUUAUAUAGAGGGACAAAACUCAAAUCUUUGGCGUUGAAUUAAUGUAUCAGCCUGCGGAUAUGACUUCCUGAUGCUUUGGCAGGAACUAAUGUAUCUUUUUAAACACAAUACAGACGCAAGCGCUCAUAUACACGCGCAUACACUCAUCCAUAUGAAUGCACACACGCACACCAUAUCCCUAUGAGCACCUCCGAAAGGCUGAGCCGGCAUAUCAUCUUUGAACCCUGAUGGGCUGGAGAUACCGUAGUCCUGCUAACCAUCCAAUCACAGGUUGGUUUGCAGGAACUGAUGUAUUAAUAGAUAUUUAAGGGCACAUUUAUGUAAAGAGAAUAGAUACCUCCUUUUCAUAUAUUUUUAGUUGGAAUUGUUGGUUUCCAAUAUGUUUAUUUUUUAUUUAUUCUAGAAAAGGACGAUGACCUAGGCCUUUGCAUCUGCACGAUGCAUGCAGCCAUCAGCCAUCUAUAUCUAUACCUAUCUAUAUCUAUAUCUCUAUCUCUAUCUCUACUUCUAUUAAUUAUAGACUCCCAAGACAUUCCUACGUUAACCAGUAAAUACAAGCCGUACAUCUGGUGGGACCGAGUUAUUAUGAUGUAGAUUAACAGUUCGACAGAAAAAAGGCCCACGACCUUUCACGGUCAGAAGAAAAAUAGGAACCACCGAUUUUUUUAACACAAUAGAGACGCAAGCACUCAUACGUACGCACAUACACUCAUCCCUAUGAAUGCACACACGCACACCCUACCUCUAUGAGCUCCUUCGAGAUAUUGGGCCGGCAUAUAAUCUUGAGAUUUAUGAAGUCAUCGUAGACGCCUCGUCGUCGAACCACAUGUCGGUUUGCAGGAACCACUGAUUUGGUGGGUUCACAUGAGCCUCCCUGUUUAAUCGCGGAAAGCUCAAAAGCAAGCAUCAUACGGUAUCUAUCAGAUCUAAUCUUUGUUUCUUUAAACAUCCUGGGUCUUUCCAAUCUAAGCAUCACAUAGCCAAGUACAGGAGACUCAACGCACACACUAGCCAGCCGUCAUGCCCGGCCACUAACCCAACUAACCUACCUACAUGCAGGCGCACACAUACACCAUCCAUGCAAUCUCUCCACAACGACCGUAGGACUUGGCUGCUAAGAGCAACUCUAGCAGAUCCCGCAAAACGCGUUUGCGGUUUCAUGAAGAUCACGUUUGCGGGUCGAAAAUUAGCGCGGCCGAAUAGAAACCGUAUCUAAAACUGCAUAAUCUGAAAAAACAUUUCCGCGGGAGAAAUUGCACCUCGUUGACGCGAGUAGUUCAUCACAUACUACAUAGAUUUUACAUGAUCAACACACUCAAACAUGGUUCAUACUACAUACUACGCUAAUACUAGUACUAGAGGGGGUUGGAUCUGACGGCGGCGAGGUCGCGGCAAUGGACGACGCCGUGGAGGAGAAGGACGCUCAAUCCUCCUCGCCGGAGCUCCAGAGGUCGACGUACUUCGCCCUCUGCUCCUCACGGAUGCGGCGCCACUCCUCGUCCUUCUCCUUGGCGGCGAGGUUGGCGGCGACCGCCUACCGCCACUCGAGGUCUUCGAGCUCCUCGGCCUGGCGCCGGCGCUCCGCCUCCUCGCGCAUGCUCCGCUCGGGGAUGGCGGCCGCAACAGCGUCGACGUCGGCGACGUAGUCUUCCGGCCCGACGACUCCGCGGCGGCCGAGCAUAGCGGGCUCCUCGGGCUCCUCCUUGACGGGGACGAAGUCGAACUCGUCCGGCUCCUCUGGCUCCUCCUCAUCCUCCGACCACUCCCUCUUCACGGGCAGAAGGCCCGCGCCGGAGGAGGAGAAGGUCCCAUCGUACGAAGAUCUCACGGAGGAGAAGGACGCGCGCCGGCGGUCGUACUCCUCCGUCUCGCUCCGCCGGAAGCUCGCCGGCGGCGACAAGCCGCGGUUGGUCCACUUCCGGGCCCCGCGCUUCCUCGUGCCAUCCGACCGGACGCGCCGCUCGCGCUCCGGGUCGCUUCCGCCGCCGGAUCUGCUGCCGGAGCCGCGUCCGGAGCUCCACACGCGGCCCCACAUGGCGGCUGGAGGCGGGAAGGUGGUCGCCGGCGGCGAGAAAUGUGGAGAAGGGGGUGGGGAAUUGCGUGGCUCGGCGGCGGCGGGGGAUAGGGUUUCGACCCGCAAACGAGCCGCAGAACUGUAGAUAUAGCGGUCAGGGCAUUCGGUUUGCGGGCCGCGGCAAAUUUUUUUGCGGGCCGGGCAAGUAUGCGGACUCUGUUCUGGUUGGAAAAUUGGACUAAGCCCGCAUACUCGUCAGAAUUUUGCGGGUCUGCGUGUUUUGCAGGGUCUGCUAGAGUUGCUCUAACGAACUCAUCGAUGCUUAUGCCCAGCCGUUGUGCAACCUCCAACAUCCACACGGCUGGGCUCUACACGACCCGGCAUGCAAAAAUGCUAGACUCACGGACCUUUACAGGGCAAUUACGGGGCCUUUCAAACUAACUAAACCAGCCCCCCUCCCCCCCCCCCCCCAUUUUCAGGAGGGUGUGGGGCCAAUUUUUCCAAAUGACCAAUUACAAACUUCCAAGUGGAUCCGCCCCGUAAUCACCCCGUGCAUGUAGCAUUGCUCCCCGCCAUGCCUGUAGCUAGCCAGCCACGGCUGUGCGCACGACGCACGUAUGCGUGGUUUAUCCUAACACACCCCCUAAACCAUGACGUCGACGUCACCGGAGUUGUUGCAGCGCCAUCGUUGUCGACGUCACGGCCGCAGACUCGACCUGGCGCACUGACGUCGGUCGCCACCGUCCCGGACUCGCGGACCUUCAUAGGCCGACACACGGACCAGAGUUUCAUCGCACAUUCGGCGGCGAACGCUGCCAUCGCCGACAUGCCUCCGGCAUAGCAAACCACGCUCAAUACAACCAAGCUUAUGAUACCAAAUGUUGGGACAAACCCGGAUAGCUCUCCCUCUCACACUCGCUCGGUUGAAGAUAGAAGAAGGACACAAACUUUUUUCCGGCGCACAAAUGCCUCGCAACACGAACGGCGCCUCAGCCGCACGAAUGGCCUAAUCUUUACUGGGCACAUACCCGGGUUCGACACAUACCGGCAGCCUGCAACACAUGGUGACUCAGCGCUCAUACCGGCGCCACACCCACACAAGAGACUACUGGAGACUAAAUCUCUCCUAGCUACUCCCCUCAAGCCCUUUCUACACAACACAUCCACGGCCACUUAAAUAGCCAAGUCCAGGAGAGCAUUUUGAAGCAUCGAUUUUGUUACUUUUUGGCACAACUUCCACAAAUGUCACUUUGUAAUGAAACUUUAUAAGCACUAAAAACUUUUCACCAAUGUUUGGUACAAAAAAAUCAUAUUUUUUUUUAUAAUUUACAGCUCAAGCUAAGAAUCGAACUUUCAUGCCCAAGUCAGCUUGCUUUCAUUGUAACUUGGUUUUCACCAGAUAUUUUCUCUGGUACUGACAUCUUGUUCACUGAGAUUUUCUAGAACAUUUUGCACCUGCAAAUCCAGAGAGUCUCAAGCAACACUAAGAUUAUAGGUUCGCCUAGAGACUUUGAUACGAUAAAAUUAAAUUCAAAAGAAUAGGUUUCAGCCUUCAGAGUGCCUUUUUUUCCUCCCCAAAAGGUAGAUGUAAGACCUGCAUAGGUGAUUUCUUUGUUGGGUCAAGAUAAUUUCCUGAGUCUCCUGGCAAAAACCCGUUGCUGGGAUGAUGAGGGCCGGUCCACUCGUGACGAGUGCGUUGGUGUUGGCCAGAGGAGGAAGAGGAAGAGGAGUGGGAGUGAGAAUGACGGGUGGGCCCUACGCCGGCCUAAUAUUUGAGACAAACGGUGUGAGUUGUUUUCAAGCUACGUCAUCAUUUAUGGAGGGACCCGGCUGUCAGUUUUUUAAUCAAACAGCUCUAAUCGGCCAAUCGGCGCUUUUUGCAAACUGUCAGUACAAUGGUGAUGGUUUUUUUAAUUAGGGUCCCCAGUUGUGAUGGUUUUUUGUAAUUUACUCCAUCAAAACACACUGAACAUCUAUGUUGCAUACGGUUCCUCGACUUGGAUUACAAACACCAGAUAAAACAUGUAUUUUAAAGGAAAUAUUAACCAGGUAAGUAAAACACAAGUUUAUGUGAAGUGGCGUCCAAGGAAGAAAUCUGUGACCAAAGUAACAAAUGUGGACCGCACAACAUAAAAGGCUCGGUUAUAUAAUUUGUCGGUAACCAAUACCACAUAUGCAGUCAUAUGUGAUAAACUUAUUCCACUAGCUAGAAAAGAAGCAUUAUUCUAG
rnacentral:lncRNA from 1 species